CUUGCAGCAGCGCAGAUGAGCCAGUUCAUAAAAUUCGAGGAGUUUGCUGAUACUUCAUCUGGGAGUGGUGUCCCUUCGUCGUCAACAGCAGCAACAGUCCCGGAACUGCCACGGCUGCAUGCUGAUGUGUGCAGUUCGAUGUUCUUCUGUUGACGUGGGCUUUCAGUCAGAUCGUUGUGCAGCAGGGUUGACUUUUUGUGAGUGAAGAAACCUGAUAUUGGAUAGGUGACAACAGGUUUGGCUGGGAGCAAUUUUUUGGAUGGUAUAGUGUCCGUGGUUAGGGUAGUAGUGUUCGGAUAGUAGUAGCAGUUGACACUUGAUCGCUAGAAGGCUUAUGGAUGUGAAUUCCAGAUUCAAACUUUGCUCCAUUUGUAAGCCGUACUUUCGGCAUAUCCCAAACCCUUUCGGGGUUUGACUACAAGCUGCCCUUUUAAUUGAGAUAUCUUGUUUAAUCUUGCGCUGGUACUUGCCUAAAAUUAAAUGUUGUGAUGUCUAUAGAUGCAACCUACUCCCUCCGUCCGGAAAUACUUGUCGGGGAAAUGGAUGUAUCUAGACGUAUUUUAGUUCUAGAUAUAUAGUAUUUCUGGACGGAGGGAGUACCUGUCAAGAAACAUUAUACUGGACAGGUGAGAGUAGGUUUGGUUCAGGACCAGUAUCUAAUAAUUGAAGAUAAUUUGACAGUAUGCUUUAUUACCAUAAAGCGUUGCACGGAAUGAAAAUGACUCGUGAGUAAUUUGCUAGAUUCAUUAGUUGAAAGUAGUUUAUAAUUUAGAUGAUUGCUUAAAAUAAGUUAUAUGUAAGUGGUGGUUGCGUAGGUUUUGAAGCAAGUAUUUUCUGCCAACGACUUGCUUUGUAAGUGCAAACAAGAUGUUGUGUUCCAUUCAAAUCAAAUAAUUGUCACAUCACUAACAAGCUCAACUAGGAUACUUUGCGGAGGAUCACCCGCCCAAGAAAUUACAAAAUUAGAACCAUAGAUAACCCUAGGCCCUAGCAAGCUUGCGUGCCACCUUAUUCCCUUCCCUUGGGCAGUGAGAAUAAUAGAAUAAGGACGCAGGGUAUCAACCUCCCCCUUGCAUGCUUGGAUAAUCUUAAGACAGUUAAAUUCAAAGAUCACAUUUGAGCACCCCCACUGGUCUGCUAGCUCCACACCAUCGCCAAAGCUUCUGCUGCAACGGCAUCAAGCACAUGCGUAAAGAGAGUUGUUGACCCAGUAAGAGCCUUCUCCCCAGUGGUUUCGAAGAAGCGCCAUUGUGGCUCCGCUUCCAUCUUCCAUGAAGCGUGCAUCCACGUUCACUUUAUAAAGAUUUUGACCAGGUUUAGACCAUUUAACAUCAGAUCGCACUCCUAGAGCUAGCAUAAUUGGUCGUUAUCGCAUGUAUGGCGAGUGAUGUUUGGGAAGGAAUGGCCACACCUUCGCCCUUUGCAGCUUCCCUUCUCUGUCACCAAAUGUACCAAGCUCCAAUUAAGAUAGACUAUUGGAAGCUGAGAUGUUCCAGUGUAGUUGAAUUAUGCUAUUGAUCUCCGAGGAUAUUCUCAAGCACACCACUACCAGAUCGGUCCGAAACAAGGGCUUGGGCGAUCGUUUCCUGAAGACCCAAAGCUUUCCACACUUCUUUAUCUCGAACACAUGUAACAUGAGGUGUCGCAAGUCUUCAACUCCCCCCUUACAAACAAGACAUUGUCCAGAUACCGGUAUAUGACAAUCCACAAGGACUGACAUACCAUGGUCCCAGUAUCAUCCUAUGUAAAGCCUUCCAACCAAAUAUCUUUAUUUUACUAGAAACUUAAAGCUUCCAGAGAAUCUUCAAAAGUGGGUUAAACUUGUCCAACUCAUCUCUUCUGAUUGUCGCACCAUAUUGAUGUUCCCACUCAUUGUAAUACGCGAACCGGACUAAAAAGGAGUAUGUCCGAGUCUUGUGCCAGGCAAUGAAAUCCUCAGUUAAUUGUGUGCUCAAAGGGAUCCUCAAAAUUCUUUCAGCAUCAACCGAACAAAAUUGUCCAGAAUUAAAUCUUCAUCCCAUCUCCCUGUCCAUGGAUUAAUCAACUCAUCAACACAAUUCAGAAGGCAAAAAUCCAUUUCUAGAUAUAACUUUCCUGGAUUGACUACUCGGUGUCCAGUGAUCAUUCGAGAUAUUGAUAUUACUUCCCGAUCCCACUCUCCAAAUAUGCCAUCUUUUGAAAGUCUAGAGACCGACAACAAUACUUUGCCACAUAAAUGAAGAUCCCUUCUUCGGUCCUGCCUUCAAGAGAUUUCCAUCAAGAUAAUGUUUAGCUCUCAAAACCCUUGCACACACUGAGUCAGGAUUUGAAAAUAGUCUCCAAACCUGCUUUGCGAGCAUCGCAAGAUUAAAAGCAUGUAAAUUUCUAAACCCCAUACCCCAUCCUUCUUGGGGAUACACAUCUUCCACCAUGCCCAUUAGUGCAUCUUAUUCUUCUCCUCAAUAUCACCCCACCAAAAGCCUGAUAUAGUACAAGUGAUUUCCUUACAGAUUUUCUUGGGAAUCUUGAACACUUACAUAGCAAACACGGGUAAAGACUAAAUUAUACCUUUAAUUAGGAUCUCCUUUCCCCCCUAAAGAUAGGAUCAUUCCCUUCCAAACUUGCACCCUGUUGAUCACUCUUUCGACCAAAUACAAUAAGUUGACACUUCUAUCCACACCCACCAUAGCAGGAGGCCCCAAGUAUUUAUCAAACAUUACUUCAGUCAUAAUACUAAGUUCAACAUAAAUGUCAGCUUUUAAUUGGACAUCCACACUUAGGCCGAAGUAUAUGCUACACUUUGCAUCACUAACCAGUUAACCAGAGUUCACACAAUAUUGAUCAAGUACUUGUCUCAAUGAGGUUGCAUUAAUCAAAUCAGCUUUCAUGAGGAUUAAGGAGUCAUCAGCGAACAACAAGUGUGAAACUGAUGAUGCAUUUUUGCAUACCCUUACCCCCUCUAUGCCACGAAACCUCCUCCGCAUGAGCUAAUAAACUUGAUGACCCUUCUGCGCACAACAAAAAUAGAUACAAUGAUAAAGGGUCCCCCUGGCGGAGGCCCCUAGUGGGAACAAAUUGUUCUGUCUUUUGGUCAUUGAACCUGACAUUAUAUUUAACAGAAGAAACACAAGCCAUAAGAAGGUCAAUGAAAUCCCGAGCAUCAGCUUUUGUAGAAAUAUCCAUUUCACUCUGUCAUAGGCCUUAUGCAUAUCCAAUUAACUCUCAUAUACAAAAGCUCAAAACCUUUCAAAUAGUCCAGAUAUGAAGCUAGGAUCGAAUAUGACCAGUCAUAUCUUGGUCAGUAUGCGGUUGUAGAUUGUUUUUUGAGAUAGCUAUCAAUGCUGAGCGGUGUUCUCAACUAUUUAUACCAGAGUUGCCGCUAAUAAAAAAAGAGAGAUUCCAAGAGUAUGAUAAGUUUGGUUUUAGCAAAACUUUGCCUCACCAAAUAUUUGGCUAGCUAAAUGGUUAGUUGCUUGCCCAUGAGAUGCCCGAGAUUGCCAACAUUUUCCCCACAAGUCCAUAGAGCGCAUGUUCUGUCAUUGGGUCUUUUUUCCUUUUCUUUUUAAGAAAUUUUGAUCUAUCCAUCAUCUUCAUUGUAGUAAAAAAACCAGAAGUAACAAACUUAUAGCAAGGUCCGUAACCACCUAGCGACAAUUAUAAGAACUAGAGCGAGACGAACGCUCCUUCCUCUUUGGAGUGGGUCAAAGCUUAUUAUAGUAGACAGUUAGGAAGUCGGCGUGCUAACGCCCCAAAAUACUAGCGCAUCAAAAUAACAACCGUCGCCAAAGUUUAGGUUGGAAGGAUCCAACUUUGACAUCACUUGAACGAACUGGAUCCAAGCAAAGCCACCAAAGACCAACACCAGACUAAAUCUCGCGAGAUUACACAUCUUCAUGAUACGUCUCCGUCGUAUCUAUAACUUUUGAUUGUUUCGUUCCAAUAUUCUACAACUUUCAUAUACUUUUGGCAACAUUUAAUAUUAUUUUUGGGACAAACAUAUUGAUCCAGUGCUCAGUGCCAGUUCCUAUUUGUUGCAUGUUUUUUGUUUUGCGGAAUACCCAUAUCAAACGAAGUCCAAAAACGAUAAAAUUUUAUGUAGAAUUAUUUUGGAAUAUAUGUGAUUUUUGGGAAUUGGAAUCAAGCAAAACGAUGCCCGAGGGGACCACAAGCUCAAGGGAGGCGCCUCCUACUUCUUAAGCUUGCGUUGAUUUUUCCCUUGAAGAGGAAAGGGUGAUGCAGCAAAGUAGAGAUAAGUAUUUCCCUCAGUUAAGAAUCAAAGUAUCAAUCCAAUAGGAGGUACAAGCAAGUCUCCAAUUUAUGCACAUGCACAAACUAACAAACACUUGCACCCAACGCGAAAAAGGGGUUGUCAAUCCCUUCAUGGUCUCGAACCAGAGUGUGAUCUAAUAGAGAUAGGUAUAAAAGAUAAAUAAAAGAGCAAACUAAAGUAAAUAUAAAUAAAUUGCAGCAAGGUAUUUUUGGGUUUUUUGAUUUACAGAUCUAAAAAUAUAUGAUGGAAAAUAGACCCCGGGGCCAUAUGUUUCACUAGAGGCUUCUCUCUUGCAAGAAAACAUACGGUGGGUGAACAAAUUACUGUCGAGCACUUUAUAGAAAAGCACAAAGUUAUGACGAUAUCCAAGGCAAUGAUUAUGAAUAUAGGCAUCACGUCUGUGUCAAGUAGACCAGAACGAUUCUGCAUCUACUACUAUUACUCCACACAUCGAUCGCUAUCCAGCAUGCAUUUAGAGUAUUAAGUUCAUAAUAACAGAGUAACGCCUUAAGUAAGAUGACAUGAUGUAGAAGGAUAACUCAAGCAAUAUGAUGAAAACCCCAUCUUUUUACCCUUGAUGGCAACAAUACAAUACGUUCCUCGCUACCCCUACUAUGUCACUGGGUGAGGACAUCAAAAGAUUGAACCCAAAACUAAGCACCUCUUCCAUUGCAAGAAGAACCAAUCUAGUUGGCCAAACCAAACCGAUAAUUCGAAGAGAAAUACAAAGAUAUCAAAUCAUGCAUAAAAGAGUUCAUAAAAGACUCAAAUAACAUUCAUAGAUAAUUUGAUCAUAAAUCCACAAUUAAUCGGAUCUGGGCAAACACACCACAAAAUAAUAUUACAUGGGGUAGAACUCCAAGAACAUCGAGGAGAACAUUGUACUGAAGAUCAAAAAGAGAGAAUAAGCCAUCUAGCUACUAGCUAUGGACCCGUAGGUCUGUGGUAAACUACUCACGCUUCAUCAGAAGGGCAUCAAGGUUGAUGUAGAGGCUCUCCGUGAUCGAAUCCCCCUCCGACAGGGUGCCGGAAAAGGCCCCAAGAUGGGAUCUCACGGGAACAGAGGCUUGCGGCGGUGGAAAUAUAUUUUGGUGGACACUUCUGUUGGUUUGGGAAUAUUUGGGAAUUUAUAGAGCAAGAAUUAGGGUUGGGGGACUCCCGAGGUGCCAGGGGCCGCCCCCCUAGGGCGCGCCCUGAGGGCUUGUGGGCCCCUCGGGACUCUUCGAACCCCUCUCCAAGCUUCGCAGAUGUCUUCUGGUCCAAGAAAAGUCAUCAUAGAGUUUUAUUCCGUUUGGACUUCGUUUAAUAUUCCUUUUAUGUAAAACUCAAAAACAAGGAAAAAAACAGAAACUGGCACUGGGCUCUAGGUUAAUAGGUUAGUCCCAAAAAUAAUAUAAAAUAGCAUAUUAAUGCAUAUAAAACAUCCAAGACAGAUAAUAUAAUAGCAUGGGACAAUAAAAAAUUAUAGAUAUGUUGGAGACAUAUCAAGCAUCCCCAAACUUAAUUCCUACUCGUCCUCGAGUAGGUAAGUGAUAAAAACAGAAUUUUUGAUUUGGAAUGCUACCUAACAUAUUUAUCCAUGUAAUUUUCUUUAUUGUGGCAUGAAUAUUCAGAUCCAUAAGAUUCAAAACAAAAGUUUAAUAUUGACACAAAAACAAUAAUACUUCAAGCAUACUAAUAAAGCAAUCGUGUCUUCUCAAAAUAACAUGGCAAAAUAAAGUUAUCCCUACAAAAUCAUAUAGUCUGGCUAUGCUCCAUCUUCAUCACACGAAGUAUUUUUUCAUGCACAACCCCGAUGACAAGCUAAGCAAUUGUUUCAUACUUUUGGUGUUCUCAAACUUUUUCAACUUUCACGCAAUACAUGAGCGUGUGCCAUGGAUAUAGCACUAUAGGUGGUAUAGAAUAUGGUGGUUGUGGAGAAGACAACAAGAAUAAGAAAGUCUCAUAUCAACUAGGCGUAUUAACAGGCCAUGAAGAUGCCCAUCAAUAGAUAUCAAUGUGAGUGAGCAGGGAUUGCCAUGCAACAGAUGCACUAGAGCUGUAAGUGUAUGAAAGCUAAAAAAAACUAAGUGGGUGUGCAUCCAACUCGCUUGCUCACGAAGACCUAGGGCAAUUUGAGGAAGCCAAUCAUUGGAAUAUACAAGCCAAGUUCUAUAAUGAAAAAUUCCCACUAGUAUAUGAAAGUGACAAAAUAGGAGACUCUCUAUCAUGAAGAUCAUGGUGCUACUUUGAAGCACAAGUGUGGAAAAAGGAUAGUAACAUUGUCCCUUCUCUCUUUUCUCUUAUUUUUCUCUCUCUUUUUUGUUUGGGCUUCUUUUGGCCUAUUUUAUUUUUUGUAAAAUCCGGAGAUUCAUCCAAACUUGUGAGGGAAUCAUAGCUUCCCUUAUCCUUUCCUCACACGAGACAAUGCUCUAAUAAUGAUGGUAAUCACACUUUUAUUUACUUACAACUCAAGAAAUACAACUCGAUACUAGAACAAAAUAUGACUCUAUAUGAAUGUCUCUGGCGAUGUACCGAGAUGUCCAAUGAUCAAGAGUGACAUGUAUAAAAAAUAUGAACUGUGGCCUUGCCACAAAUACUAUGCCAACUACAUGAUCGUGCAAAGCAAUAUGAAAUAAUAAACGAAAUGGUGGAAGUUGCAUGGAAUGGCUAUGAAAAUGCCAUAAUAGGUAGGUAUGAUGGCAUUUUAGAGGAAGGUAUAUGGUGGGUUUAAUGCACCGGCGAGAAUUUCACGGUACUAGAGAGGCUAGCAAAAGUGGAAGGGUGGGAGUGCGUAUAAUCCAUGGACUCAACAUUAGUCAUAAAGAACUCACAUACUUAUUGCAAAAAUUUAUUAGCUAUCGAAACAAAGUACUACACUCAUGCUACUAGGGGAUAGAUUGGUAGGAAAAGACCACCGCUCGUCCCCGAAUGCCACUCAUAAGGAAGACAAUCAAAGAAUAAAUCAUGCUCCGACUUCAUCACAUAACGGUUCACCAUACAUGCAUGCUACGGGAAUCUCAAAACUUUAACAGAAGUAUUUCUACCAAUCCACAAUUACUCACUAGUAUGACUCUAAUAUCACCAUAUUUAUAUCUCAAAACAAAUUCAAGGAAUCAAACUUCUCAUAGUAUUCAAUGCUCUUUGCAUGAAAGUUUUUAUUAUAUCCCUCUUGGAUGCCCAUCAUAUUAGGACUAAAUUCAUAACCUAAGCAAAUUAUCAUGCUAUUUAGUGACUAUCAAAAUAAUAUAAGUGAAACAUGAGAGUUCAACAAUUUCUAUAAAAUAAAGCCACCACUGUGCUCUAAAAAUAUAUAAGUGAAGCACUAGAGCAAACUACCUAGCUCAAAAGAUAUAAGUGGAGCACUAGAGCAAACUGCCUAGCUCAAAAGAUAUAAGUGAAGCACAUAGAGUAUUCUAAUAAAUUCACGAUUCAUGCAUGUGCCUCUCAAAAGAUGUGUACAACAAGGAUGAUUGUGGCAAACUAAAAAAGCAAAGACUCAUAUUAUACAAGACGCUCCAAGCAAAACACAUAUCAUGUGGUGAAUAGAAAUAUAGCCUCAAGUAAAUUUACCGAUGGAUUGAAGACGAAAGAGGGGAUGCCAUCCGGGGCAUCCCCAAGCUUAGAUGCUUGGUUAUCCUUCAAUAUUACCUUGGGGUUCCUUUUACAUCCCCAAGAUUAUGCUCUUGCCACUCCUUAUUUCAUAGUCCAUCAAUUCUUUACCCAAAACUUGAAAACUUCACAACACAAAACUCAAAAGAAAACUCAUGAGAUCCGUUAGUAUAAUAAAAUAAAUCACCACUUUAGGUACUGUUGUGAACUCAUUCUUUAUUUAUAUUGAUGUAAUAUCUACUGUAUUCCAACUUCUCCAUGGUUCAUACCCCCCGAUACUACCCAUAGAUUCAUCAAAAUAAGCAAACAACACAUAGAAAACAGAAUCUGUCAAAAACAGAACAGUCUGUAGUAAUCUGUAAACUUUGUAUAAUUAUGUAACUCCAAAAAUUCUAAAAAAUCAGGAAAACUGAGGCAAUUCAUAUAUAAAGCUUUUAUAAAAAACCCAGAUCAAAAUCAUGUUUUUGUGAUUUUUUAAAAUUGUUUUACUGGGUGCAAAAGUUUCUGUUUUUCAUCAAGAUCAAAUCAACGAUAUACCGAAGUAUCCCAAAGGCUUUACUUGGAUAAAACACUAAUUGAAACACCAAAACAUAAUUAAUAUAGAGAUAAUAAUGUGUAUUUAUUGAUUAACUUCACCAAAAAUAAAAGACAUAAAAAUAAAAUUGGGUUGCUUCCCAACAAGCUUAUUGUUUAACGCCCCUAGCUAGGCAUAAAACAUAGAUCUAGGUAUUAUCAUCUUUGGUAUACAAUCCAUAAAUAUCCCUCAUAAUAUAUUCAUAUGGAAACUUAAUUUUCUUUUUUAGAAAGUGUUCCAUGCCCUUCCUUAACAGAAAUUGAAACCUAAUGUUUCCUUCUUUCAUAUCAAUAAUUGCACCAAUCGUUCUAAGGAAAGGUCUACCAAGAAUAAUAGGACAUGUAGGAUUGCAAUCUUUAUCAAGCACAAUGAAAUCUAAAUCCUAUUUGCAACAAUAAGAACAUCAUUAAUACUUACCAUAGGUUUCUUAAUAGUGGAAUCCGCUAGAUGCAAAUUUAAAAUACAAUCAUCAAGUUCACGGAAACCUAACACAUCACAUAAAGUUUUUAGUAUCAUGGAGACACUAGCACCCAAAUCACACAAAACAUGUCACUCAUAAUCUUUAGUUUUAAUCUUAAUAGUAGGUUCCCACUCAUCAUAAAGCUUUCUAGGGAUCAAAACUUCCAACUCAAGUUUUUCUUCAAAGGAUUUCAUCAUAGCAUCAACAAUAUGUUUAGUAAAAGCUUUAUUUUGAUUAUAAGCAUGAGGAUAAUUCAGCAUGGAUUGCAACAAGGAAAUACAAUCUAUCAAAGAACAAUUAUCAUAAUUAAAGUCUUUGAAAUCCAAAAGAGUGGGUUCAUUGCUACUUCAAGUUUUGACCUCGCCAAUCCCACUUUUAUCAAUUUUUGCAUUAAGAUCUUUAAAGUCCGAAGAAUUGGGACGCCUUCUAGAUAUAGUUGACUCAUCUCUAGUCCCAUAUUUAUCAAUAUUCAUAUUAGAAAACAAAGAUUCAAUAGGAGUCACACCAAUCACUUUAAGAUCGUCAUCAUUAUUCUCACAAAAACUAGAAGAACACGCUUUUACAAACCAAUUUCGCUUAGCACGCAUCCUAGCGGUUCUUUCUUUACACUCAUCAAUAGAAAUUUUAAUAGCUUUCAGAGAUUCAUUAAUAUCAUGCUUGGGUGGCAUACAUAUAAUUUUCAAAGAAUCAAUCUCAAGAGAAAUUCUAUCAAUGUUCCUAGCCAAAUCAUCAAUCUUGGGCAAUUUUUCUUCAACCAUAGUAUUGAGAACUUUUUGAGAAUUAAAGAAAUAUUUAAUUUUGUUCUCAAGAUCAAAGGGUAUUUUAUUAUAAUUUACAUAAGAAUUGUUGUAGGAAUUACCAUAAUUAUUAGAGGAAUUACUAGGAAAUGACCUAGGGUUGAAAUUACCUCUAUAAGCGUUAUUACCAAAAUUGUUCCUACCAACAAAAUUCACAUCGAUACAUUCAUUAUUGUUCUCAAUCAAAGUAUACAAAGGCAUAUCAUUAGGAUCAAUAGGAGCACUCUUACUAGCAAACAAUUUCAUAAUUUCAUCCAUUUUUCCACUCAAAGUAUUAAUUUUUCAAUCGCAUGCACUUUUUUACUAGUGGAAGAUCUUUCGGUAUGCCAUUGAGAGUAAUUUGCCAUAAUAUUAUCUAGGAGUUUAGUAGCUUCUCCUAAUGUAAUUUCCAUAAAAUUACCUCCCGCGGCGGAAUCUAAAAAAUUUCUAUAUGAAAAAUUCAAUCCAGCAUAAAAAAAUUGUAUGAUCAUCCAUAAACUUAAACCAUGAGUAGGGCAAUUUCUUAUCAUCAAUUUCUCCUCUCCCAAGAUUGUGCAACAUGUUCAUGAUCAAGUUGCUUAAAAUUCAAUAUAUCAUUCCUAAGGGAGAUGAUCUUAGCGGGAUGAAAAUACUUGGAAAUAAAAGCAUCUUUACACUUGUUCCAUGAAUCAAUACUAUUUUUAGGCAAAGAUGAAAACCAAGUUUUAGCACAAUCUCGUAGUGAGAACGGAAAUAGCUUCAAUUUAACAAUAUCAUUAUCCACACCUUUUUUCUUUUGCAUAUCACAUAACUGAACGAAAGUAUUUAGAUGGGAUGCGACAUCUUCACUAGGAAGGCCAGAAAAUUGAUCUUUCAUAACAAGAUUCAACAAAAUGGCAUUAGUUUCAUAAGAUUCCGCACUAGUGGUGGGAGCAAUCGGAGUACUAAUAAAAUCAUUAUUAUUAGUGUUGGAAAAGUCACACAACUUGGUAUUUUCUUGAGACAUCGUGACAAAGCAAGCAAUCUAGCACACGAGCAACCAAAAAGCAAACAAAAAGACGAACGAAGAAGGGCGAAUAAAAAGGCAAAUAUUUUUGUGUUUUUCUGAAAAUGUUUUAGAAGUGGAGGAGAGGAAAACAAGAGGCAAAUGGCAAAUAAUGUAAUGCAAUAGAUGGGAGAUUAUGGUGGUACUUGGUAGGCUUGAUGUAGAACCUCCUGGGCAACGGCGCCAGAAAUUCUUCCUACUACUUCUUGAGCUUGCGUUGAUUUUUCGCUUGAAGAGGAAAGGGUGAUGCAACAAAGUAGAGAUAAGUAUUUACCUCAGUUAAGAACCAAGGCAUCAAUCUAGUAGGAGGUACAAUCAAGUCUCCAAUCUAUGCACCUGCACAAACUAACAAACAUGUGCACUCAACGCGAAAAAGGGGUUGUCAAUCCCUUCACGGUCUUGAACAAGAGUGAGAUCUAAUAGAGAUAGGUAUAAAAUAUAAACAAAAGAGCAAACUAAAGUAAAUAUAAAUAAAUUGCAGCAAGGUAUUUUUGUUUCUUUUUUGGUUUAUAGAUAUGAAAAUAUAUGAUGGAAAAUAGACCCGUGGCCAUAGGUUUCACUAGAGGCUUCUCUCUUGAAAUAAAACAUAUGGUGGGUGAACAAAUUACUGUCGAGCAAGUGAUAGAAAAGUGCAAAGUUAUGACGAUAUCCAAGGCAAUGAUUAUGAAUAUAUGCAUCACGUCUGUGUCUAGUAGACCGAAACGAUUCCGUAUCUACUACUAUUACUCCACACAUCGACCGCUAUCCAGCAUGCAUAUAGAGUAUUAAGUUCAUAAGAACGGAGUAACACCUUAAGUAAGAUGACAUGAUGUAGAGGGAUAAACUCAAGCAAUAUGAUGAAAACCCCAUCUUUUUACCCUUGAUGGCAACAAUACAAUACGUGCCUCGCUACCCCUACUUUGUCACUGGGUGAGGACACCGCAAGAUUGAACCCAAAACUAAGCACAUCUCCCAUUGCAAGAAGAACCAAUCUAGUUGGCCAAAACAAACAGAUAAUUCGAAUAGAAAUACAAAGAUAUUGAAUCAUGCAUAAAAGAGUUCAGAAAAGAGUCAAAUAAUAUUCAUAGAUAAUCUGAUCAUAAAUCCACAAUUCAUCGGAUCUUGACAAACACACCGCAAAAGAAUAUUACAUCAGAUAGAACUCCAAGAACAUCGAGGAGAACACUGUAUUGAAGAUCAAAGAGAAAGAAGGAGCCAUAUAGCUACUAGCUAUGGACCUGUAGGUCUGUGGUAAACUACUCAUGCUUCAUCGGAAGGGCAGCAAGGUUGAUGUAAAGGCCCUUUGUGAUCAAAUCCCCCUCUGGCUGGGUGCUGGAAAAGGCCCCAAGAUGGGAUCUCACAGGAAUACAGGCUUGCAGCGACGGAAAAGUAUUUUGGUGGACGCUUCUGUUGGUUUGGGAAUAUUUGGGAAUUUAUAGAGCAAGAAUUAGGGUUGGGGCACUCCCGAGGUGUACACAAGACAAGGGGGCGCGCCCUCCUAGGGCGCGCCCUGAGGGCUUGUGGGCCCCUUGGUACUCUUCUGACCCCCUCUCUAAGCUCCGUGGAUGUCUUCUGGUCCAAGAAAAAUCAUCGUAAAGUUUUAUUCCGUUUGGACUCCAUUUGAUAUUCCUUUUAUGUAAAACUCAAAAACAAGGAAGAACAGAAACUGGCACCGGGCUCUUGGUUGAUAGAUUAGUCCCAAAAAUAAUAUAAAAUAGCAUAUUAAUGCAUAUAAAACAUCCAAAACUAAUAUAAUAGCAUGGAACUAUAAAAAAUUAUAGAUACAUUGGAGACGUAUCAGCGCCCCCUUCCCUGGGCGCGACCAGGAGGCUUGUGGGGGCCCCUGUAACGCGGUUGGUGCCCUUCUUUCGUCGCAAGAAAUAUAAUACCCAGAUAAAAAUCGUGUUAAUAUUUCAGCCCAAUCGAAGUUACGGAUCUGUGGGAAUUUAAGAAACAGUGAAAGGCCAGAAAACACGAACACAGAAACAGAAGGAAACAGAGGGAGAGAUCCAAUCCCGGAGGGUCUCUCGCCCCUCUGUCGCCAUGAAGUCCAUGGACUAGAGGGGAAACCCUCCUCCCAUCCAGGGGGGGGGUCAAGGAAGAAGAAGAAGAAGAAGGAGGGGGGCUCUCUCCCCCCUCUCCCGGUGGCGCCAGAACGCUGCCGGUGCCAUCAUUGUGACGGCGAUCUACAUCAACAACUUCGCCGCCGUCAUCACCAACUCUCUCCCCCUCUAUGCAGCGGUGUAACACCUCUUCUACCCGAUAUAAUCUCUACUUAAACAUUGUUCUCAACACUUUAUAUUAUUAUCCAAUGAUAUGUGGUUAUCCUAUGAUGUUUGAGUAGAUCUGUUUUGUCCUAUGGGUUAACUGAUGAUCGUGAUUGGUUUGACUUGUAUGUUUUAUUAUUGGUGUUGUCCUAUGGUGCUCUCUGUGUCGCGCAAGCAUGAGGGAUCCCUGUUGUAGGGUGUUGCAAUAUGUUCAUGAUUCGCUUAUGAUGGGUAGCGUGAGUGACAGAAGCACAAACCUGAGUAAAGUGGGUUGUUGCGUAUGGGAGUAAAGAGGGACUUGAUACUUUAAUGCGAUGCAUGCGUUUUACCUUAAUGAUCUUUAGUAGUUGCGGAUGCUUGCUAGAGUUCCAAUCAUAAGUGCAUAUGAUCCAAGUAGAGAAAGUAUGUUAACUUAUGCCUCUCCCUCAUAUAAAAUUGCAAUAGUGAUUACCGGUCUAGUUAUCGAUUGCCUAGGGAUAAAUAACUUUCUUGUGACAAAAAUCUCUCUACUAAAACUAACGUAGUUGUUUAUUUAUCUAAAUAGCCCCUAGCUUUUAUUUGUGUGUUCUUUAUUAUCUUCAAAACCUACAAAAUUGUUUCAUACUUGUUCUAGGUAAAACGAACGUUAAGCGUGUGUAGAGUUGUAUCGGUGGUCGAUAAAACUUGAGGGAAUAUUUGUUGUACCUUUAACUCCUCGUUGCGUUCACCACUUUUACUUAUCGAGAAAUGCUACAAUUGAUCCCCUAUACUUAUGGGUUAUCAUUCACAUGCCUCCAAUGACGCUAGAUGCACUGCCAAGCUAAGGCUAGGCAAGAAGGAUCUUAUUUCAUCAUUAGAAAGUCGCCACCGCCUCACCUACUUGAGCAAGACAAAGCCCUAAUGAACUAAAAAUUGUAAUUAAAAACGGUGUUGCAUUCCUCCCACUGUCAAGGGCUGGGUUCACCAUUCCUCCAUGUGCUUAAGGCCACCAGAGACGUGGCAGACUGGUGGCGUCAUGGUGGGGGUUACAGAAGACAUGAAAACCUAUUCGCCUUGUCGCCUAAAGAUGCGAGAGGAAGGGGCACAAGACACUUUGCUUAAUCCUCUCCAUGGAGUCGUCUUUCAACGCGCCCAUUCCACGCCAUUGGAUUUCGGCGCCAUGUCCCUUAUGCGCGUGUGCGCGCGCCCGCACGUGUGUGUGCAAUGGAAAGAACGUCAUGAGGGUGGCAUCCUGCAAUCUGGUGUCGCACGAUAGAGACACUGCACUAUUGUGUUGUCCUAAUUCUCUCUCAAAAUAAUCUUCAAGUCGUUGGCAUGCUAAUACUUAACAACAAACAAAAUAUAAUUUUUAUUAUUACCGAAAAAUCGGUAGCAUGAGAAUCAACUUGUGGUUGGAUGAACAAUGGUACUCGAGCCCUCCAGGUUUGAUGCUUUGGCAUUUCGUAAAGACGUGAUAUUUUUUCAGCGGAAGGCGACUGUGAUGACUUCGUGAUUCCACAGACUUAAUGUUUCUAAGGAAAAUUAGAAUGUACGUGUGUGCAUUCAUAGAAGAGAGUGCAUGUAUAUGUUUGUGAGCGUUUACAUCAUGUUUCUUAAUUUUUUUGGUAAACAUGAGUGUUUUCCUGUUACGCUGCGUUUGGAUGUUCCCAUUGGAGGCUUGGAAUCCAAAUUGGUAUUGUAAUCUUUCAAUUCAUGUGUUUGGUUGCACAGCGAAUUGGCAGGCUAUAAUGAAACGAAAACGCCGGCUGAAUUACAUCCCACGCGAAGUGCCUGCCCACGAUACGGAGCCCUCCUGCUCUGAAACGCGCUGAAAUCAGCCUGCCCGCAAGCGACCAGAAAAAGGAAGGGGAUAGGAUAGGCUGACCGCGACGACCUAGCAGAGGCCAGUGGCGGCGGCCACCACCAUGGAGUCCGGCGGCGGCGCAGGUGCCUUCCUCCCCUCCUCUCCAGCUCAUGCUCGCCGUCCCCUUGAGCCACUCCCAGCCAUGGAGUCCGACGGCGGCACAUGUGCCUCCUCCCCGGCUGGCCCCGUCCUCCUCCCCGGCUGUCGUGCCCCGCCGUCCUUAUCCAUACCUGGCCGUCCUCCCUGCCCGUUGUCCCCUACCCCUCUUCUAGUCGAUUGGCCCUCGUGCUCGCCGGCGUGGAGGUCCUGUGCUCUAGAUCUCGCGGCCGUCGGAGUUUCCCAUACACGAGGGGCUGCGCCUGCACGAGUUUGAACCAUCACGCUCGCCGGCGUCGCUCCAUCCCGACCGCGGAUGGUCGGCUGACCGUCGGGGACGACUGCGUCCUGUGCUCCUCACUGCUGCUCGUCUGGCUCCGUUCAUGGCGCAGCUCAGGCAAACCGUCAAUUCGAUUGUAUGGCAUCCAAACAUAACAUUGGUAUUGCUAGCUUGUCUAAUUCCAACCUGCAAUAUUUUGUACAUCCAAACAUCUGUAUUGGUAUUGGAGCCCAUUGCAAUACAAAGGUUGAUUUGGUAUUGGAUCCAAUGCAAUUCAGAGGCUCUCAAUGGAGACAUCCAAACGCAGUGUUAAUGUUAAAAAUCUUACAUAAAAAUUUCCUUGCGUCAACUAAAUUCAUAGGGGGGACUUUUUUUAUUAUGUUUUAUUUAUUUAUUAUAUAUUUAAAGCAUGAUAGCGCAAUUUUAAAUAUGAUUUUUAAUUAACUUUUAAAUAUAUUUCUAAACACAGUAGAAACACAGAUACUUAUUCACAAACACGUACAGUCACCCACAUGAACACAUGCACGCACACUCUACUCUAGAAAAAUGCGACCAUCAGUGCCAAGUUUAGGACUUGAGCUCUGAUGGAUUGGUUUCACCACAAGGAAUUUAACCAUCUGACCUAUGCUCAAUUUGCAAUUUUAAACAUGAAGUUGAUUACCACACAUACUAUGUGUCUUUUUUUGUUAAAGGUCGUUAGAUGGAGACUAGGUCUCCGUAAUGUAGUUUCCUUUAUAGAAGAAGGUAAAGGGGGUGCCUAGCCCUGUUCUGGGAUGAGAGUAUCGAAGUUGAACACUUUAAGCUAGGUGAGAGAAUUAUUGAUGUAUUCAUUUGUGAUAUGCCCUCUGGAAUAAAGUGGAGAUGCACGUUUGUUUACGGUGAGCCUCAUACUCAUUUGCGCCAUCAUAUGUGGGAUCUUAUGCGUAAAAUGAAAAAUUUAACUACGCCGGGACCAUGGCUGAUGGCAGGCGAUAUUAAUGAGUGUAUGUGGCAGGAAGAGCAUUUUUCUAGGACUCACAGGAAUAAAAAAACAAAUGCUUGAUUUUAGAGAAUUCCUAUCCCACUGUGAUCUUCAUGAUCUAGGUUACUUAGGGGCGCCUUGGACUUUUGACAAUGGCCAAGAUGGCUACCGCAAUAUUAAAGUUAGACUUGACAAGGCGGUGGCGAAUCCGGAAUGGAUGAAUAUUUUCCCAAACUUCCAGGUCAAUCACAUAGUCAUUACAGUGUUGGACCAUUGCCCCAUUGAAGUGUGAAGUGUGCAACAAUCUGUACAUCAACCAGUUAGUCAACAACGUAGAUAUGAAGUUUUCUGGGGAAAGAAUAAUAAACUAACUGAAGAAGUGGAAGUAGCGUGGUCAAAACAUCAUCGAGCCAGGGUUUUAGGUUAUAUUACAGCAAACCUAUCAGGUGUGAUGAGCUCCCUUCACGACUGGAGCAAACGCAAUUUUGGUUCUAUCCGAAAGAAAAUAAAGGACCUCCAGAAUAAAAUUCAGGCAACCAGUCACCGUAAUGACAGUUAUGCAAACUCUAAGCAGAAGCGUCUGAGAAAGGAAUUAGAUGACCUACAAGAUAAAGAAGAGAUUUCUUGGCGGCAAAGAUCAAGAGUGGAGUGGCUUAAGGAGGGCGAUCAAAAUACAAAAUAUUUUCACCGAAAAGCUACUUGGCGCGCCAAGAAAAAUUCGGUUCAGAAGCUCCAAGAUGAGGCUGGUAACAUUAUUAAUAAAAAAGAGGAUUUGAAGAACAUGGCCACAAGGUUUUUCCAAGAGCUCUUUAAAAAAGAUGACCAGGUCGAACCCAAUAUAAUUCUGGACCAUGUCCAAGGACGGGUUAAUGCUGCAAUGAAUGACACGUUAUGUAGGGAAUUCUCUAACAAUGAGAUUGCAAAUGCAUUAUUUCAAAUCGGCCCACUAGAUGCACCUGGGACGGACAGCUUCCCGGCCUGUUUUUUCCAAAUACACUAGGCUACCUUAAAAGAGAUAUUAUUUGUGCUGUCAAGAAAUUCUUUGCUGACGGAGUUAUGCCUGAUGGGGUGAAUGACACAGUUAUAGUUCUUACACCAAAGAAGAAAGGUCCAGUUAAUUUAAAGGAUUUUAGACCAAUUAGUUUAUGUAAUGUUGUUUAUAAAAUCAUAGCUAAGCGUAUGGUAAAUCGUCUUCGGCCUUUGCUCGAGGAUAUUAUAGCCCCCACUCAAAGUGCUUUCAUUCCUGGGCGGAUGAUUACGAAUAAUGCCUUGGUAGCUUUUGAGUGUAUAAAUACUAUGCAAAAGUCACGCGAUGCUAAAGGGUCUUUCCACGCUUACAAGUUAGACUUGACAAAAGCCUAUGACUAUGUGGACUGGGACUUCCUUGAGGAUGUUUUGAGGAAAUUUGGCUUUGCAAACCAAUGGAUCAGAUGGACGAUGAGGUGUGUGACGUCAGUCAAGUAUGCUGUGAGACUUAAUGGGACUCUUCUCCAGUCCUUUAUGCCAUCUCGGGUCCUGCGACAAGGUGACCCAUAUUCUCCUUACCUAUUUCUUCUCGUCGCUGAUGUCUCUCUACUUUGUUACACUCGGAGAUCAAUAAAGGUAACAUUCAGGAGUUUAAGAUAUGUAGAGCCUUGAGAAUGGGGACCAAGCCUUGAGAAUUAAGAAUGUUAUAAAAAGAUAUGCAAAGGCUACAUGCCAAUUGUUAAGUCCCAAUAAUUUCUCUAUUAUGCUUGCUAAAUCCUGCAAUCAGGAGGAAGGAAAGAGUGUGGCACAAAUAUUAGGUCUGCAGAAAAUUGAUCUUGAAGAAAAGUAUCUUGGACUUCCGGUUCUUGAAGGAAGGAUGAAGAAUGGUAAAUUUCAGCCCAUUAAGGAGUGUUCUUUGAAAAGAUGUACUGACUGGUGUGAGAAAUACCUAUCCAGUGUGGCUAAGGAAAGCCUUAUAAAGUCGGUAAUACAUGCAUUAUACACCUAUGUUAUGAGUGUGUUCAAAUUCUCUAUUGGCCUGUGCAAGGAGCUCUCACAGAUCAUCAGAAAUUUUUGGCGGGGGGAUGAAAAUGAUAGAAGGAAGAUGCAUUAGCUUGCCUGGGAUAAGCUGCUAAAGCCAAAGAUAAGGGGGGGGGGGUAUGGGUUUCUGGGACCUUCACUUAUUUAACCGAGCCCUCCUUGCUAAGUAGGCUUGGCGACUUAUUCAAUUUCCGGACAGCUUAUGUGCUAGAUUGUUGAAGGUAUUAUCCACAUGGCAACUGGUUGAUAUUGCCUUUAUCCAGAACGCGUCGCCGUGCUGGCAAGGAAUCUAUCAUGGUCUGGAUCCUCUUAAGAAAGGCAUUAUCUAAAGAGUUGGUGAAGGUGAUAAAGUUAAAGUAUGGAGGGAUAAUGGGAUUCCAAGGGGAAUAUAUAAAUCUCUGGGAAACAAUCUCGAACCAGAGUAAAAUGGGUCUCCGAUUUUAUCGACCCAUUGUCAAGGACAUGGAAUGAGGAAUUGGUUAGGAGAAUAUUCCUACCUCAUGAUGUGGAUGAAGUGUUAAAAAAUUUACUCUCACAAUCUAGCUCUCAGGAUUCUAUUGCGUGGCAUUUUGAACCAUCGGGUGUAUUUUCGGUUCGUAGUGCAUACAUGUUGGCUGUUAACGAUAAGGAUGCGAAUGGUGAUUUGGGACAAAGUAGUGCCGAGCCAUCUGGAGAAAGAAAGAUUUGGAGCGUACUUUGGAAAGCAAAUGUUCCUCCCAAGAAACUUUGGAUGGCAUCUGGCAACAGAAUCACUUCAAGUUCAGACAAAUAUGUUGGGGAACAUAGUAAUUUCAAAAUUUUCCUACGAUCACGCAAGAUCUAUCUAGGAGAUGCAUAGCAACAGAGGGGAGAGUGUGUCCACGUACCCUCGUAGACCAAAAGCGGAAGCGUUUAGUAACGUGGUUGAUGUAGUCGAACGUCUUCGUGAUCCAACCGAUCCAAGUACCGAACGUACGGCACCUCCGCGUUCAGCACACGUUCAGCUCGGUGACGUCCCUCGUACUCUUGAUCCAGCUGAGGACAAGGGUGAGUUCCGUCAGCAUGACGGCGUGGCGAUGGUGAUGAUGAUGUUACCAAUGCAGGGCUUCGCGUAAGCACUAUGACGAUAUAACCGAGGUGUGUAACUGUGGAGGGGGGCAUCGCACACAGCUAAAAGAAGACUUGGUGUGUUCUAGGGUGCCCCCUGCCCCCAUAUAUAAAGGAGGGAGGGAGAGGCCGGACGGCCCUAGGGGGCGCGCCAAGGAGAGGGAUUCCAACUAGGACUACUAGUCCUAGUAGGAUUCCUUUACAAGGAAGAGAGGGGAAGGAAGGAGAGGGAGAUGGAAUAGGAAAGGGGGCGCCGUCCCCCCUUCCCAUGUCCAAUUCGGACUGCUAGGGGGGGGGCAUGUGACCAGCCCUUGCGGCCCUCCUCUCUCUUCACUAAGGCCCAUGAGGGCCCAUUAGUUCCCCCGGGGGUUCCGGUAACCCCUCUGGCACUCCGUUUUUACCCGAAAUCACUCGGAACACUUCCGGUGCCCGAAUAACAUAGUCCAAUAUAUCAAUCUUUAUGUAUCAACCAUUUCAAGACUCCUCGUCACGUUUGUGAUCUCAUUCGGGACUCCAAACAAACUUCGGUCAUCAAAGCACAUAACUCAUAAUACAAAUCGUCAUCGAACGUUAAGCGUGCGGGCCCUAUGGGUUCGAGAACUAUGUAGACAUGACCGAGACACAUCUCCGGUCAAUAACCAAUAGCGGAACCUGGAUGCUCAUAUUGGCUCCUACACAUUCUACGAAGAUCUUUAUCGGUCAAAUUGCAUAACAAAUACGUUGUUCCCUUUGUCAUCGGUAUGUUACUUGCUCGAGAUUCGAUCGUUGGUAUCAUCAUACCUAAUUCAAUCUCGUUACUGGCAAGUCUCUUUACUCGUUCCAUAAUACUUCAUCCCGCAACUAACUCAUUAGUCACAUUGCUUGCGAGGCUUAUAGUGAUGAGCAUUACCGAGAGGGCCCAAAGAUACCUCUCCGAAACAUGGAGUGACAAAUCCUAAUCUUGAUCUAUGCCAACCCAACAAACACCUUCGGAGACACCUGUAGAGCAUCUUUAUAAUCACCCUUUUAUGUUGUGACGUUUGAUAGCACACAAGGUGUUCCUCCGGUAUUCGGGAGUUGCAUAAUCUCAUAGUCUGAGGAACAUGUACAAGUCAUGAAGAAAGCAGUAGCAAUGAAACUAUACCGAUCAUAAUGCUAAACUAACGGAUGGGUCGUGUCCAUCACAUCAUUCCCCUAAUGAUGUGAUCCCGUUCAUCAAAUGACAACACAUGUCUAUGGUUAGGAAACUUAACCAUCUUUGAUUAACGAGCUAGUCAAGUAGAGGCAUACUAGGGGCACUAUGUUUUGGCUAUGUAUUGACACAUGUGCUAAUUUUUCGGUUAAUACAAUUCUAGCAUGAAUAAUCACUGGUACGCGUUAGUGCUAUACAAAUGGUGUUUAAACCCUAUUUGCGAUGGCAUUCAGAACCAUCACCUAGUGAAUGUGGGCGAUAGGGGGGUCCUUCCCACACGACCCAGAACCCUUCGGGGAUAUGCCCUCCUGGCACACACGCUUGGCAAAAUGAGGUCGUGUGCGACUGGCGAGCGAGCAAAUACGGUUAUACGUAUAGUAGUGCUCAAAAAAAUACAAUUAUACAGGCGAAAUCAUUUCCGGUCAUAAGUUCAUCCCACACAGUCAGUCCCCACGAAACGUUUCCGUUCGUAUAUACAUCCCACACAGUCGCUGCAAGGAAAACAUUUCCGUUCGUAGGUACAUCACACACAAUUUUCCCCGUUAAAUCGUUUGUGAAGGCCAUCCCAUCGCAUACAAUAUAAAUAAUUUUAUCUUUGCGUUAUUAAAUGCAUCACACACAGUGUGUAGAAGAAACUGUGUGUGUUGCCUUAGGUCAUCGCCCACGGUAUUUUCUCAAUAACCAUUUGCAAUAGCAGAAACCAAUUAGCAGGCUAAUUGCCCUAUUAUUAAUAGUCUAUUUAUUAAUCUAAUUGACAUUCAUAUUAAACACAUAAUAUAUUUCAUUCCCAUAUUAAGGAAGCGGGAUUUCAUAAUUGAAAUACAUCAGAGUACAACAUGAUAUAGCUUCAGCACUUAGCUACCCCAUUACACAACUACACCAGCACCAAGUUUCACAUGCAACAUCUAGAACCUUUUGAAAUUAGCAUCAUAGACGGUACAUAGACAGAUGCAUCUCAUCAGGAAAACUGCUCAAGCGGAAGACGAAUAUUGAGCCUUCAUUGAUGUUGAAGGUCUUUGCAACUUUAGGCUAGUGUCUGUGGAUGAUUGAAUGUCCAUCCUUCGUCCUCUUUCAGGAACACUUCAAUAUUGAACCAUGGGUGUUGUAUGAAUACCUUCCUCGCCUCCUGACCAUGCAGGUGGUUUGAGAGGUAAUCAUCAGUGAACUGUUUUGGAAAGGCCUGAAAACAAGGAUGCGCAUAAAUAUCUUCUCUAUAUUAGAAAUGGGGCAAGGGAAUAAAAAAGACAAGGUAUAAUAGUAUACAAUAACAGAAUGCAGCCACAACAAUUGAGCAUCGCAUUGCAGAAUUGAACCAAGCAGUUAACUAAACACCACAACAAAUGAACCAACCUUUAACUGAGCACCACAUUGCACAAAUAUAACAUACUCCUAAUAGAAGAUCACACAAUUAACCAAACCAAGCAUGCUUAACAACUUGGAAAUAUAGCAAUUGUAUUUGUUUCUCAUGUAUUUAGUACAACCAAAUUCGAUUUAUUUCUCACAUGGUAUAUAAUAACUGAAUGCAGACACAACAAUUGAACAUCGCAUUGCAGAAUUGAACCAAGCAGUUAACUAAACACCACAACAAAUGAACCAACCGUUAACUGAGCACCACAUUGCACAAAUGUAACAUACCCCUAAUAGAAGAUCAGACAGUUAACCAAACCAAGCAUGCUUAACAACUUAGAAAUAUAGAAAUUGUAUUUGUUUCUCAUGUAUUUAGUACAGCCAAAUUUGAUUUAUUUCUCACAUGGUAUACAAUAACAGAAUGCACACACAACAAUUGAACAUCACAUUGCAGAAUUGAACCAAACAGUUAACUAAACACCACAACAAAUGAACUAAACGUUAACUGAGCACCACAUUGCACAAUAUAACAUACUCCUAAUAGAAGAUCAGAGAGUUAACCAAACCAAGCAUUCUUGACAACUUGGAAAAUUGCACCCUAAAGAAUUGAACAUCACAUUUGCAGAAUUGAACCAAACAGUUAACUGAACACCACAUUGCACGACAUAUAGAACAUAUACACUAGAGCAGAAGAUUGCAUGGUAAAAGUAGAUAGCACAAUUCACUAGAAUUUGUUAAGGAAAGACAGUGGCUAGCAAACUGAACAUGGGUCCUUAUAGUGAGCUAAUAAGACAAGCUACUCAUUGUCAGAGAUAUCGAUGACGAUUGGCUCCUUGGACAUGGAAGAGGGGGAGGCCUCCGCAUCGUGGGUGCCCUCGUCGUAGUGGUGAGUUGCCUGAGCCGCUUCGGGCACCAACCUGCUGGCUCUCGAGAUGAGGUAAGCACGUGCAUGCUAAGAAAACACCUCGUAGUCUUUGUCGAAGGCACCGACGGUGGCCUCGAUAAAACACCACAAACUAUCAUUUAAAGCAGCCAACCGCGCCGCGGCAUCACUGCGCGAGGCGUCGACGGUGGCCUCGAUGGCGAGGUGCUCCUCCAAGAUCUGGGGGUCGGCAUGAAUGGCAGCCAUCACGACCUCAUCAGCGCGUGCGGUCGUGAUUUGCUUCUCCGCCGACCGCCAAGCACACGGUCCCUUCUCCGCCGCCAAGCGCAUGGAGUGAAGGUUUCAACUUGGAAAGAAAGGCGGAAACAGGGGAAAUGUGGCUUUUGGUAAGGGGGAGGAGGCGGGAAGGUAGAUAUUUCCGCGGAAGCCAAAAAUUUGGAAUCGCUUCAGUGAAAAAACUGAAGUGCAAAGUGUCAUUAGACACGGUCCCUUAUUCAGAGCGGGCUGUGGACUGUAGUCAAUGAACCUUCUCGAGUAAGCCAUAGGCGUACUAUACACCAACGGUGCUCCAGGAUACUUUGUACUACAUCUCACGCGGUUGGUGAUAAUAAAUUGUGUGGGACCUACUUGAUUUUUCAUCUUGAUUUGAAUUAUAUAAUGGGGUCACGACUGCAAAGGAUGGUGUUUGAAUUGCUAGAAAUUAUACCUGUAGUGAACAUGCAACUAUAGGUGUGUCGUCAAAUUUUUUGGAAUUAUUAUAGUUACCGUAUAAAAAUGUCCAUGGGUUUCAGGUGCACCAUUUAAAUACAUUACAACCGUGCACUAUUCCAGCCAUCUCAGGCCAUCAACAUUUUAAAUCAUCGGAUUUGGACUUGUGUGAGUUUCUAACCAUUAGAUCUCCUUUCAUUCUCGCCUGGGCUUUUGUUGCCACACUGUUCACGCCACAUGGGCUGGGCCGCUGCUCUGGCAACAAAAUUCCCAGCCUGCUGUUAAUUGGGCCUACUGGGCCUCGAGUUAGCCAUAUGUUUUUUUCGAAAUGGGAACAAAGGCAUCCCUCGCACGCUCCGCGAGGCCUUGCCGGCGCGAUGGCAAGAGGCGGCGACGGUGCAGCGAACCGUCGCAUGUUAUUUGGAUCUCACUAGCCGGGGAUUGAGGAAGCGUUAAUGGCAAUGGAUGCGCCGCGUUCGCCUCAGCCAAUAAUUGCAGGCCCAUUAUCAUGGUGUUCCUUGCUCUUCCUCUCAUCCCUGCUUUCCAUAUAAUCUCUACCAUCCCGACGAUCCCGAUGUUCCUUCCUCACCCUCCCCCAUACUUCGGCAAAACUAUCUCAGGCAGCCAUGGCUGACUGAUUAGGUUGCUCUUCCUCAUCUUGGUUCUGGUAGUCCUUCCUCCUAUAUCGCAUCUGGCUAGGUGGUGACGGUGGCAGUGGCAUAGUCCUCUCCUUGAAACCUUCCUCUUUUCUAUGGUAUAAUGAAUUUUCCCGCUGGAGCGACUAGUCUGCCAGGGAAACAAGGUGAGGGAGCACUUUCUCCCCGUGAAGAAGGAUGCGAAGGCAGUGCAAGGAGUUGCGCCACAACAUCAUGGAGGUGGCGCAUGAGGAGGAUUAAUGCAAGCGCUCCAAUUCUAGGUAUCCAAAUUCUAGUAAAAACUAGCAGCACAUGUGGCCAUGAAGUAUCCGUGCUGAUUAGAUGAUUCUGUUGGAGAUAUAUGGGUAUUAAAUUGACGUUGCAUUCUUUGUCUUCAGUUCCUUCAGUUUCUGCGUGAAAAUUUCUGCAUAUUGUGCUUGUAUUGCAGGGUAAAUCUUAUUUCCCUUUUUGGAAAAUUAGUACAUACAACCAGUAUCAAUAUGAAUGUGAAGGAAGGUCCUCAUAUAUCCUCUCACAGAUGGACUAAGGUCCGAUGUGGCAAAGAUGGCCUGAAAUUCCACAUACAUAGUCACUAAACUCAUACAAUUUGAAUGUGAAUUAACUGCACAAAAUGAAAUUAAUUAACCUUGAACAGAGGCCAGUGUAAAUAGCAUCCACAAGUAAUCGUUGAUGUGGUAGAGUGGAUCAUCUGGAGAGCACAAGGCUUUAGUAUUGUAACCAUUUUGUGCUUUCUUUCUUCUUUGAUUUCUUACUGGAUAACAAACAAAGCUCUUGCUUGUUCUGCAGAGAAAAGACCAGUGAGCCGAAGAGGUCAAGUUUUCCUGUAGUACUUCUCUUGUCAUGUUUUUCACAUAUUUAGAGCUGUAAUGAUGGACAUGCUAAUCUCCAGGAAAUGGGCAUGUAAUAACAAUGAAACAAAUUGCCUUCUGGUAUUAGGUAACUAUGGUAUUGCCAUAUCCAUUCAGUUCUCAUGUUUAAAGGCUAUAGAAUGCUUUUUUUUGCAUAGAGGUGCCAUUUGAUUGAGAAGAGGAAACCAAGAACAGAGAGUACCAUCUAUUUACUUGAGAGCAUCAAUACUAAAUUGUUUGUUCAGUGUACUUCUAACAUAGCUUGACAUUUCAUCCACGUACAUCGAUGUUUUUGGAUUCUGCAGUAAAUUGCUGAACCUAUUGAUCGUAGUACCAUAUAUUUGUCUUGUUUAUUUCCCUCUCUUUUGGUUUUCAGGUAGCAACAAUUCAUAUGCAAUCUAGCCUGUAAUCUGGAUUUAUAUUUUCCCUCACUUUCUUUUGCUUAAGAAAAGCCUAGAUUUGCAUAAACAUAGCCUUUGAAUCAUCUACUUGACAACAUGCAAACUUUUUUAUAUUUUAUAUGAACCUCAAGUAGUUUCUAUGGUGUACUUUCAAUAUUUACAAUAUGCUCUUUUACUUACCAUAUGCCCUUUUCCUGCAUAUUUUUCUCUGCAGCAGAUUAAGUUAGUAAAAGCAAACCAAUGGCUAUAUAUGUAGGGUCAGCAAACUAUCAAGUACAAUAUACAGGAGCCUAUCAGCAUCUUAAAUUUCUGCUGUUGUAUAUAUCGUCAUCCGUAGUUUUAUUGUUCUGAUCAUAGAUUAUCUUACUCUGAAUCACGUGGAACAUUUUCAGAUAUAUUGUGUAAUUCUACAUGAAUGUAAUGCAUUAGGUACCAUUAUUUUUUGCUCUCUAAUUUGUGAAUGGCUGUGUUUUUACUGGGUUACAGAAUCCAAUCUCAUUUUCUCGAUGUCCUGCCAAGCUAUCACACACAAAAUAUUAUUAAAUUUCACAAGCUAGCCUCAGUCACACAAUUAUUUCUUAUUUGUGAGUGCUUGCGUUCUUACCGGGUUACAAAAUCCGAACUUGAUUUUCUCGAUGUCAUGCCAAGUUAUCCCGCACAAAAUAUUAUCAAACCUGACAAGCUAGCUUCAGUAACACAAUUAUUUGUUUUCCUACUAGAUGGUGACAUAUAACACUGUUAUCUAUGGCUUACUUAAGGAAGGCAAUGUUAGCUAAGGCAUGAUGUGUAUCCAUGGAGUGUUGCAACAAUGGAUUGUGCGUGAUGGGUUUGCAUUUCUGAUGUUGAUUAUGAACUUCUCAUGUUUUACAAAGGACAUUUUUCUAUGAUUCUCAUAUUACAUUCAGAAAGCAUGCAUUAAUUGUUAAUAAGUAACAAAUAUCAUCAUCCUCCAGAUGAACAAUUGAUACCUUGUCAUACACUUAACCCAAUAGCCAUGGUGCCUUCGUAUAAUAUUCCUAAAUUUAUACUUACCAAGCAUUACUUGUUUGCUUUCUGUAGGAGAAAGGAAAAGUCAACAACCUUCCAUGAUAACCUCAGAUUUCAAUUGUUUCAUUAAUUAUGACUAUCAUCAUUGAUGUGUGUCAUUAACACUAGAAAGGUUUUACAUCAAUUCUGUCUUUCACGUAAAUUAGAAGAACCAAUUGGAUAUCAAAUUCUAAAAGACGAUGACGCUGAGAAGGAGUUGGAGGUGGCACUAGCGAAGCAAAAGAGCAAUUGAAGAAUGGCAAAAUCUGUGAGCCACCCUAAGGACGAAUCCAUGUUUAGGAUAGGAGUGGUAAGGCUAUAGAAACUAAGAGCCAUAACCUUCUAGAAGAUGGUACAAUUAUGUUCGUGGAUACUUUUAUUAUUCUAUUCUCGGUAUGUAAAAUUUGAAUUUUGUUGCGGCUUGAUGUUUUAUUUACCAUAAGGUAAUUGCUACAUGAAUUAAAACGACACUAGCCAUAAGUGUAUCCAUUGUCAUAUUGACCUAUAAAUCCAGGUGAGCACCAAAAUCAUUCUUGAUGUUUAUUGAAUAACAUUUAUGUUUAUAUUGGUAUGUUGAUCUUUGCACUUUUAGUUAGAUCUCUUUUAAAUUCUUGAAUUACAAUGGUCUGCAAGGGUUCGAAGCCCAUGUUCCCUGCCCCAACACACACGACCCAUGUUAGUCAUUCAUAGACGCCUUCGGCACCGAUGUAGAUAAUGGAGCUCUUUUACUGGGUCAUGAAAGUAGGGUUUAGAGUUUGUAACCCCAACAAAUGUAGUACAUAUAAACAUUCCAAUAAAAUCGUCUAAUUCUUAGGUGGAAUCUAUACACCACCAUAAUAUGUUAGCUAGCAUGUUGACAAGUAAAUACAUCCAUAUAUACGCAUCAAUCCCAAACAUUAUACCAUAGAAACAUACGGGCGCAACAACGCGCCCCAUUAAUGAUCUAGUUCAAAAUUAAACCACAUGCACAUUCUCCGGUGCACCAAAAUGGGUGUAAAAUGAUAUAUGUGUCCAUGGGUUGAUGCUUACGUCCCAUUCAAGAAAUGGGGAUGAAUUUCAAACACCACGACACCAUGGCUCUCCGGCAAAUGUUGAGGUGCUUGCUUUUGUAAUUCUAGUAAAUACAAAACUCGUCUGAAAUUCAUGAACCUUGGCAUGCUAUCAUGGAACGGCAUCAAGAUGCUGGGGUAAAAAAAUUGCCCAUUUGGGCCAGGUUAUGGUAUAAGCUUCUCGCAGACCAGAGCUUCUAUCACAACAAGCAUGAUGGUUUCGGUAGGGAAUGUUUCACCUUUCUGGACGGAACAAAAUCCGUUGCACCUUCUCGAUUUCAAUUUUUUUUCCUAGUGUCAACAUAGAACAACAGGGGUGUUGUGUCAAUUUUUGGGAUUUUUGGGGGUUCGCUUGGACAUUUUUAUACAUUAACUGAGUUUUCUAUGCAUUCAUGUGCAUAAUUCAAAUUUGAACUACAUGCACAUGCUCUAAUGCAUAUAAAUUAGUUGAAAAUUCAAAUCCGUGUCCUUGGUUGCAUGCUUAAUUAGGUCCCAUGCAAGAAAUGAGGAUGAAUGUCAAACACCCUGCCACCAUCACUCGGCCGCAAAUAUUGAGAUAUAUACCUAGUUUUUAAAUUCUAGUAAAUCCAAAGCUCGUCUGAAAUUCAUGAAACUUGGCAUGCUGUCAUGGAGAGGCAUUAACAUGUUGUGGUAAGUUUUUUGUCCCAUUUGGGGCAGGUUUGGGGAUAUGCUUCUCACAAACCAGAGCUUCUCACAACAAGCUCGAUGGUUUCGGUAGGGAAAGUUACACCUUUUUGGACGAAACGAUAUGCAUUGCCUCUUCUCAAUUUCAAUUUUUUCCUAGUGUCAACAUAGAACAACAGGGGUGUUGUGUCAAUUUUUGGGAUUUUUGGGGGUUCGCUUGGACAUUUUUAUACAUUAACUAAAAUUUCUAUGCAUUCAUGUGCAUAAUUCAAAUUUGAACUACAUGCACACAUGCUCUAAUGCAUAUAAAUUAGUUGACAAUUCAAAUAUGUGUCCUUGGUUGUGUCGGAUGUUGGGUUCCGGCAGACCCUUAAGGUUCAAACUCUGGGGUGCGCACGAAGAUAUCUCUGCUACCGAUCUACGUCCGAUCGUCUCGUGAGAUCUAGGCUAAAAGCGAUGAACAACACGAGGGACACAAGAUUUAUACUGGUUCAGGCCACCAUUGUAGUGUAAUACCCUAUUCCAGUGUGUGGUGUGGUGGAUUGCCUCAGGGGCUGAUGAUGAACAAUACAAGGGAAGAACAGCCUCGCGAGAGGUGUUCUUGGGCUGGUGCGAUGAACUGCUUGGGUGAGUUCGAUCGCCUCUCUCUCUGUCCUUCCUAAGUCUUGAUCUGAUCCCCCUACUCUGUGGUGGCUAGCUCUAUUUAUAGAGGCCUUGGUCCUCUUCCCAAAUAUUGAGCGGGAAGGGCGCCAAAAACGACCAUUUUGAAGGGGAACAUCUAGUACAAGUGAUCCUGACUAAAGUUGGUCUUCGGCUGCCAAAAGCACUGGUGAUGAUGCCGUCUUGGGCUCCACGAUGACCUCCAUCCUGCCGCUCCGCUGGUCUUGGUCUUGUUGCACUGAAAUGGCAACCUUUGCCUGAUGCCUCGGUACCCCGCGCAUGUGCUUGCCCCCUUUGCACCAAAGAGGAAACAAGGACACUGCGCAGGCCGGCGCCCGCCUGGUCCCGAUCUUCAUGGCUUGCGUCAUGAGCACCUCGCGAGGUACCCUGCCUUGAUCUCUCCGCCUCCUCGCGAGCCUGCCUGGCGAGGCCGCUCCUAAGGAAAGCCUUGCGUCGUGUGCCCCGCGAGGCUUGGCCCCUCGCGAGGGUCUUGAGUCUUGUGCUGAUGAAGAUGGCCGUACUGGGCCUCCACUUGAGCCACGCCGCAGGCUGCAGGCAGGCAAGUCUGGGGACCCCCGUUCCCAGAACGCCGACAGUAGCCCCCGGGCCCAAGGCGCGCUCGGACUUGGCUUCACAGAGAAGCGAAGGGGCAAGUGCGGAGCGCCGCGGGCCCCAUCAGCCUGCAGCCUUGGGCGCCGCGUGGUGGUUGAUUGGACGUGGGCGUCUCUGCCUGCCCACGCGGCCUCGGCAACUGCCCGACUUGACAAGUCCCUGCAUGCAAAGAUGGAUCAUGAUUACCUUAGAUCGUGGUGGCCGACGGUUGGCCUCCUUCUGGUUAUAAAUGCAGGAGGGCACAUGCCUCCGCUAUUCAUCUCCCUCCUUGCUUCCUUCCUUCUCCUCAUCCAAGCUACUCGCCAUCUUCCAUGGCGCCGCCGAAGAGGUUCUCGGCCACAGAGAAGGGAAAGGCUCGUCGGGAAGGGCCUGACUCUCUGCCGGCCAAGCGCGGCCGAGGUCGUCCAUGCAAGCAUCCUGUGGCUCCCGUAGUGGCUUCCCUCGGUCGCGGAGGCGAUCCCCUGCGCGGCGAUGGGUGCCAGGUUGUCGAGGGAAGGAGCGCCGUGACUGCGCAGCCUCCCAGGCCGCGCUUCCACUCGGCGGAGGUGAUGCCGGAGUUUGUUGUGUGGUCGGCGGACCCGACCAGCACCUGGCUCCAGCUUUCCCACUUCUUUGCAGGUGAGCUUCCGGCCGGCGCUCCGGGCGGCCUCUGGCUUCAAGCGGACGGUUGCUGCAGCAGGGCCUCCUGGGCUUCGCUGGAGGUCUCCGUCACCGGGAAUGUGGCCCUGACCCGCGGCUGGCAAACGUUUGCCCGCGCACGUGGCCUGAGCCAGCGGUGCACCCUGCACUUCAAGUUCAAUGGCGACGCCACCCUCUACGUGAGGGUGUUCGGAGAAGACGAUCUCCGCGCUGGGUGCUGCCCCGAAGACGACGACCGUGGCCGGGUACCCAGCCCCGGCGAUGAUCGGGAUGAAGAUGACGGAGGGCGCGUGGUCGGCGGUGCUCGUGGCUCGCCAAGCUUCGGCGGCUCCUCUUCUGACAGCAGCUCCUCUAGUGGUGGCCGCGACCAGCCUCUGCGCCGCCGCGCUUGUCUUGAGGGUGGUGGCGGGUCGGUCCUCUGUCGCGCCUCUGUGAAGCGUGAGGAGGUGUCCGACUGAACUCCAGAGGCAGUACGAGCCUUCGCCGUGAGUAGAUGCCGAGCGAGCCGUGCCCAUUUUAUUUUUCUCCCUUCCCUGCGCAAAGAGAGGGUAGUGCAGGGCCCCGUGGGGGCAUGCUGGACUGCUGUCAUUUAACUACUAUGCUAUUUCCGCUAUUUUUGUGAUGUGCUUCAGUGCCGCAUGCUAGCAUGUAAGAAUUACUUAGCUCGGGGGGACUUGCCGCGGUCAUUGCUUCUUGAGGCCGAGGCCUCGCCGCGUGCUUCGUGUCCUGCAAGGAUGGGUCAGGAGAGGUAACUUUCGGUCUCGGUCAUGAGGGCGACCGAACCAGGUCAUGUGCUCGUGUCGCGAUGCCCGUGGGGCACGGACUGGGAGGGGUGCUCCCGUAGUGGACCUGGAUAGGAAAACUUCACGGACUGGGGCAGAAAGCACUCGCGAGGGCGCCCGCGUAACCCCCUCACGAGGCUUGCGCGAGAGAAAAUGAGUCAAGAAGGCAAAAAAGAUAGGGAGUCACAAGUUAAGGACGGCAACAACUCCAAUAAAACUUCAAAUAGGGACGAACAAGCCAACUGCAGAAAGCAAAUGAAAAAGCCGCGUCCGGCACCUAAUCUAGUCUUCGACGUCUUCUCACCAACGUGGAGCUAAGUGCUACCACUGGGCGUGGGCGGGAGCCCCCGAGGCCCGAGGGCGGCUCUUCGGAGACUCCGGGGCAUGUACAUCCCCAACUCAUUAUUAUGUGAGAGUGUCAUGGGCGGCGAGCUUCACAGGCAUUGGCCUUCUUCACAGGCUCCGAGCCUUUCUCGGGAAAAUGAGCUUCAUAGGCAUUGGCCUUCUUCACAGGCACCGGGCCUUUCUCGGUUCGUCUAGCUUCACAGGCGCCGGGCCUUCUUUAUAGGCUCUGGGCCUUUCUUCAAGGGUAGAACUUCCGGAGAUGUUGGAUGUUCCACGCGUUCGGGAUGGACACCCCCUCCUGGGUCUCCAAGCGUGCGGCGCCGGGCCUAGAGACAUGAACAACCUUGGAUGGGCCCUCCCACAUGGGUGAGAGCUUGUGCAGCCCCUCCUUGGAGAGCACCCAUCUGAGCACGAGGUCACCUACCUCGAGGGUCCUGGGCGGAUGCUGCGGCAGUGGUACCGCCGCAGUGCUUGUUGGUAUCUCGCAGCCCGAAGCGCAGCCUCCCGAGGACAUUUCUCCCCCAGCACGAGGUCCACCCCCCGCAUGGCGUCCAGCUGUGCUUCGUCGAAAGCCAGGACCCGUGCGGAGUGAUGCCUGACCUCAUGAGGAAGGACCGCCUCAGCACCAUAGACGAGGAAGAAUGGGGUUUCGCCAUUUGACUUGGUAGCGGUAGUAUGGAUGGACCAUAGCACGGACUGAAGCUCGUCGUGCCAGCCCCUGCCGUAGGCCUCCAGCUUGUUCUUGAAGGUUCGGGUUUUGAGGCCUUUCAGGACCUCCGAAUUAGCGCGCUCAGCUUGGCCGUUGCUCCGAGGGUGUGCCACCGAAGCGUAGCAUAUUUGCGUUCCAAGGUUAGCACAAUAUGUUUUGAAGAGAUUGCUGGUGAAUUGCGAACCAUUGUCGGUGAUGAUGCGAUUGGGCACCCCAAACCGGCUCACGAGGCCCCUGAUGAACUUGACUGCUAAGCCAGCCGGGAUAGUGUGGAUAGCUUCCACUUCUGCCCACUUGGCGAAUUUGUCAAUGGCGACGUAAAGGUAGCGGUAGCCCCCUGGCACCCGAGGAAAUGGGCCAAGGAUGUCCAGUCCCCAAACAACGAACGGCCACGAGAGGGGAAUGGUCUAAAGGCCCUGAGCUGGCUGGUGAAUCUGCUUGGCGUGGAACUGACAGGCUUCACAAGCCUUCACCAGCUCGAUUGCGUUGUUGAGUGCUGUUGGCCAAUAGAACCUGCUGCGAAACGCCUUGCCGACGAGUGUGCGCGAAGACGAGUGGUGCCCGCAGUCUCCAUCGUGAAUGUCUGCCAGUAGCUCCUUCCCCUGCUCCUUAAAGAUGCAUCGUAGAGUAACAUCAUUCGGCCGCUUCCGGUAGAGCUCUCCGUCUUGGAUGUAGUAGGUCGUGGCCUGCCGAGCCACGCGUUCCACGUCCUCCUCCUUCUCUGGCAGAAUCCCCUGUAUCAGGUAGUCCUUGAAUUCCAUGGUCCAGCAUCCCUCCUGAGGCUCCAACGCCAGGAGCAGGCACGCUCCUGAAGUCGGGCCAUAGGCCGGGGCUCCUAAGGCAGGAGCUUGAGGGAGCUCCUCCCGAGGCUGCGCUGUGCUUGAUAGUGAGGGUGCCGCUGAAGGUUUGAAGAGCCGUUCUUCGAAGACGCCAGGCUCCUGAGACAACCGCCUGGACGCCCUCCUGGCGAUUUCAUCCGCCUCUUGAUUGGUGUCGCGGGGCACAUGCUGCAGCUCCAGCCCCCAAAAUUGCUUCUCCAUCCUGCGUACCUUCACAAGAUCUGCCUCCAUGUGUUCAUCUUUUGGCUCGUAUACCUUGUUGGAGAAAUUGACGAGAAGUUGCGAAUCGCCCUUGAUGAUGAGGCGCUUUUGUUGGGUAACGUAGCAGAAAUUCAAAAUUUUCCUACAUGUCACCAAGAUCUAUCUAUGGAGAAACCAGCAACGAGGGGAAGGAGAGUGCAUCUACAUACCCUUGUAGAUCGCUAAGCGGAAGCGUUCAAGAGAACGGGGUUGAAGGAGUCGUACUCGUCGUGAUCCAAAUCACCGGAGAUCCUAGUGCCGAACGGACGGCACCUCCGUGUUCAACACACGUAUAGCCUGGUGACGUCUCCCAUGCCUUGAUCCAGCAAGGAGAGAGGGAGAGGUUGAGGAAGACUCCAUCCAUCAGCAGCACAACAACGUGGUGGUGAUGGAGGAGCGUGGCAAUCCUGCAGGGCUUCGCCAAGCACCGCGGGAGAGGAGGAGUACUUGGGAGAGGGGGAGGGUUGCGCUAGAAUUUGUGUGUGGCUGCCCUCCCACCCCCCACAUAUAUAUAGGGGCGAGGGAGAGGGGGACUGGCCCCCUCAGAUCCAAUCUGAGGAGGGGGCAGCGGCCAGGGGGGUUGCCUUGCCCCCCAAGGCAAGGGGGCGCCCCCUUUUAGGGUUUCCCCCAAGCCCUAGGCGCCUUGGGCCUUGGCGGGGGGCACUCCAGCCCACCUGGGGCUGGUCCCCUCCUAGACUUGGCCCAUGCAGCCCCCUGGGGCUGGUGGCCCCACUUGGUGGACCCCCGGGACCCUCCCGGUGGUCCCGGUACGUUACCGAUAAAACCCAAAACUUUUCCGGUGACCAAAACAGGACUUCCCAUAUAUAAAUCUUUACCUCCGGACCAUUCCGAAACUCCUCGUGACGUCCGGGAUCUCAUCCGGGACUCCGAACAACAUUCGGUAACCACAUACAAACUUCCUUUAUAACCCUAGCGUCAUCGAACCUUAAGUGUGUAGACCCUACGGGUUCGGGAACCAUGCAGACAUGACCGAGACGUUCUCCGGUCAAUAACCAACAGCGGGAUCUGGAUACCCAUGUUGGAUCCCACAUGUUCCACGAUGAUCUCAUCGGAUGAACCACGAUGUCAAGGACUCAAUCGAUCCUGUAUACAAUUCCCUUUGUCUAGCGGUAUUGUACUUGCCCGAGAUUCGAUCGUCGGUAUUCUGAUACCUUGUUCAAUCUCGUUACCGGCAAGUCUCUUUACUCGUUCCGUAACACAUCAUCCCGUGAUCAACCCCUUGGUCACAUUGUGCACAUUAUGAUGAUGUCCUACCGAGUGGGCCCAGAGAUACCUCUCCGUUACACGGAGUGACAAAUCCCAGUCUCGAUUCGAGCCAACCCAACAGACACUUUCGGAGAUACCUGUAGUGCACCUUUAUAGCCACCCAGUUACGUUGUGAUGUUUGGUACACCCAAAGAAUUCCUACGGUAUCCGGGAGUUGCACAAUCUCAUGGUAUAAGGAAAAGAUACUUGACAUUAGAAAAGCUUUAGCAUACAAACUACAUGAUCUUUGUGCUAGGCUUAGGAUUGGGUCUUGUCCAUCACAUCAUUCUCCUAAUGAUGUGAUCCCGUUAUCAACGACAUCCAUUGUCCAUGGUCAGGAAACCAUAACCAUCUAUUGAUCAAUGAGCUAGUCAACUAGAGGCUUACUAGGGACAUGGUGUUGUCUAUGUACCCACACAUGUAUCUGAGUUUCCUAUCAAUACAAUUAUAGCAUGGAUAAUAAACGAUUAUCAUGAACAAGGAAAUAUAAUAAUAACUAAUUUAUUAUUGCCUCUAGGGCAUAUUUCAAACAGUCUCCCACUUGCACUAGAGUCAAUAAUCUAGUUCACAUCGCCAUGUGAUUAACAUUCACAGGUCACAUCGCCAUGUGACCAACCUCCAAAGAGUUUACUAGUGUCACUAAACUAGUUCACAUCAUCAUGUGAUUAAGACUCAAUGAGUUCUGGGGUUUGAUCAUGUUUUGCUUGUGAGAGAGGUUUUAGUCAACGGAUCUGUAACAUUCAGAUCGGUAUGUACUUUGCAAAUCUCUAGGUCAUAUUGUAAAUGCUGCUUCCACGCUCCACUUGGAGCUAUUCCCAAUGGUUGCUCCACUAUGCGUAUCCGGUUUGCUACUCAGAGUCAUUCAGAUAGGUGUUAAAGCUUGCAUCAACAUAACCCUUUACGCCGAACUCUUUAUCACCUCCAUAAUCGAGAAACAUGUCCUUAUUUACUCCAAGGACAAUUUUGACCGUUGUCCAAUGAUCCAUUCCUGGAUCAUUCUUGUACCCCUUGACUGACUCAUGGCAAGGCACACUUCCGGUGCGGUACACAGCAUAGCAUACUAUAGAGCCUACGUCUGAAGCAUAGGGGACGACAUUCGUCCUUUCUCUCUCUUCUGCCGUGGUCGAGCUUUAACUCUUAACUUCAUACCUUAGAACUCAGGCAAGAACUCCUUCUCUGACUGAUCCAUCUUGAACACCUUCAAGAUCAUGUCAAGGUAUGUGCUCAUUUGAAAGUACCAUUUAGCAUUUUUGAUCUAUCCUCAUAGAUCUUGAUGCUCAAUGUCCAAGUAGCUUAAUCCAGGUUUUCCCUUGAAAAACACUUUCAAAUAACCCUAUAUGCUUUCUAGAAAUUCUACAUCAUUUCUGAUCAACAAUAUGUUUACAACAUAUACUCAUCAGAAAUUCUAUAGUGCUCCCACUCACUUUUGGAAAUACAAGUUUCUCAUAAACUUUGUAUAAACCCAAAAUCUUUGAUCAUCUCAUCAAAGCGUACAUUCCAACUCCGAGAUGCUUACUCCAGUCCAUGGAAGGAUUGCUGGAGCUAGCAUACCUUUUAGCAUCCUUAGGAUCGACAAAACCUUUCUGAUUGUAUCUCAUACAACCUUUCCUUACGAAAACUGGUAAGGAAACUCGUUUUGACAUCCAUCUGCCAGAUUUCAUAAAUGCAGCUAAUGCUAACAUGAUUCCGACGGACUUAAGCAUCUCUACGGAUGAGAAAAUCUCAUUGUAGUCAACUCCUUGAACUUGUGAAAAACUCUUCGCCACAAGUCGAGCUUCAUAGACGGUGACAUUACCGUCCAUGUCUGUCUUCUUCUUAAAGAUCCAUUUAUCUCAAUGGCUUGCCGAUCAUCGGGCAAGUCCACCAAAGUCCAUGCUUUGUUCUGAUACAUGGAUCCUAUCUCGGAUUUCAUGGUUUCUAACCAUUUGUCAGAAUUUGGGCCCACCAUCGCUUCUCCAUAGCUCGUAGGUUCAUUGUUGUCUAGCAACAUGACCUUCAAGACAGGAUUACUGUACCACUCCGAAGUAGUACGCAUCCUUGUAACCCUACGAGGUACGGUAGUGACUUGAUCCAAAACUUCAUGAUCACUAUCAUAAGCUUCUACUUCAAUUGGUGUAGGCGCCACAGGAACAACUUCCUAUGCCAUGCUACACACUUGUUGAAGUGACGGUUCAAUAACCUCAUCAAGUCUCCACCAUCCUCCCACUCAAUUUUUGAGACAAACCUUUCCUCGAGAAAGGACCCGAUUCAAGAAACAACCCCUAUUGCUUUCGGAUCUGAAUUAGGAGGUAUACCCAACUGUUUGGGUGUCCUAUGAAGAUGCAUUUUAUCCGCUUUGGGUUUGAGCUAAUCAGCCUAAAACUUUUUCACAUAAGCGUCGCAACCCCAAACUUUAAGAAACGACAACUUAGGUUUCUCCAAACCAUAGUUCAAACGGUGUCGUCUCAACGGAAUUACGUGGUGCCCUAUUAAAGUGAGUGCGGUUGUCUCUAAUGCCUAACCCAUGAACGAUAGUGGUAAUUUGAUAAGAGACAUCAUGGUACGCACCAUAUCCAAUAGGGUGCAACUAUGAUGUUCGGACACACCAUCACACUAUGGUGUUCCAGGCGGUAAUAAUUGUGAAACAAUUUCCACAAUGUCUUAAUUGCGUGCCAAAGCUCGUAACUCAGAUACUCAUCUCUAUGAUCAUAUCAUAGACAUUUUAUCCUCUUGUCACAAUGAUCUUCAACUUCACUCUAAAAUUACUUGAACCAUUCAAUAAUUUAGACUUGUGUUUCAUUAAUUAAAUAUACUCAGUAUCUACUUAAAUCAUCUGUGAAGUAAGAACAUAACGAUAUUCACUGCAUGCCUCGGCACUCAUUGGACUGCACACAUCAAAGUGUGUUACUUCCAACAAGUUGCUAUCUUGUUCCAUCUUACUGAAAAUGAGGCUUUUCAGUCAUCUUGCCUAUGUGGUGUGAUUUGCAUAUCUCAAGUGAUUCAAAAUCAAGUGAGUCCAAACGAUCCAUCUGCAUGGAGUUUCUUCAUGUGUAUACACCAAUAGACAUGGUUUGCAUGUCUCAAACUUUUCAAAACCGAGUGAGUCCAAAGAUCCAUCAACAUGGAGCUUCUUCAUGCGUUUUACACCAAUAUGACUUACAUGGCAGUGCCACAAGUAGGUGGUACUAUCAUUACUAUCUUAUAUCGUUUUGGCAUGAACAUGUGUAUCACUACGAUCGAGAUUCAAUAAACCAUUCAUUUUAGGUGUAAGACCAUUGAAGGUAUUAUUCAAAUAAACAGAGUAACCAUUAUUCUCCUUAAAUGAAUGACCGUAUUGUGAUAGACAUAAUCCAAUCAUGUCUAUGCUCAACGCAAACACCAAAUAACAAUUAUUUUAACACCAAUCUCGAUGGUAGAGGGAGCGUGCGAUGCUUGAUCACAUCAACCUUGGAAACACUUCCAACACAUAUCGUCAGCUCACCUUUAGCUAGUCUCCGUUUAUUCCGUAGCUUUUAUUUUGAGUUACUAACACUUAGCAACCGAAUCGGUAUCUAAUACCCUGGUGCUACUAGGAGUACUAGUCAAGUACACAUUAACAUAAUGUAUAUCCAAUAUACUUCUAUCGACCUUGCCAGCCUUCUUAUCUACCAAGUAUCUAGGGUAAUCCUGCUCCAGUGGUUGUUCCCCUUAUUACAGAAGCACUUAGUCUCGGGUUUAGGUUCAACCUUGGGUUUCUUCACUGGAGCAGAAACUGAUUUGCCAUUUCAUGAAGUGCCCCUUCUUGCCCUUGCCCUUCUUGAAACUAGUGGUUUCACUAACCAUCAACAAUUGAUGCUCCUUCUUGAUUUCUACUUUCGCGGUGUCAAACAUCGUGAAUAUCUCAAGGAUCAUCAUAUCUAUCCCUGAUUUGUUAUAGUUCAUCACGAAGCUCUAGUAGCUUGGUGGCAAUGACUUUGGAGAAACAUCACUAUCUCAUCUGGAAGAUCAACUCCCACUCGAUUCAAGUGAUUGUUGCACUCAGACAAUCUGAGCACAAGCUCAACGAUUGAGCUUUUCUCCCUUUGUUUGCAGGCUAAGAAAAUCGUCGGAGGUCUUAUACCUCUUGACGUGGGCACGAGCCUGAAAUCCCAAUUUCAGCCCUCGAAACAUCUCAUAUGUUCCGCGACGUUUCAAAAACGUCUUUGGUGCCUCAACUCUAAACCGUUUAACUGAACUAUCACGUAGUUAUCAAAAACAUGUAUGUCCGAUGUUUGCAACAUCCACAGACGACGUUUUGGGGUUCUGCACACUGAGCGGUGCAUUAAGGACAUAAGCUUUCUACUGAUUGCAUAAUCGCUACUGUCAACUUUCAACUAUAUUUUCUCUAGGAACAUAUCUAAAACAGUAGAACUAACGCGCGAGCUAUGACAUAAUUUGCAAAGGGUUUUUGACAAUGUUCAGGAUAAGUAAGUUCAUCUUAUGAACUCCCACGCAGAUAGACAUCCCUCUAGUCAUCUAAGUGAUUACAUGAUCCGAGUCAACUAGGCCGUGUCCGAUCAUCACAUGAGACGGACUAGUCAUCAUCGGUGAACAUCUUCAUGUUGAUCGUAUCCUCCAUAUGACUCAUGCUCGACCUUUCGGUCUCUUGUGUUCUGAGGCCAUGUCUGUACAUGCUAGGCUCGUCAAGUUAACCUAAGUGUUUUCGCGUGUGUAAAUCUGGCUUACACCCAUUGUAUGUGAACGUAAGAAUCUAUCACACCCGAUCAUCACGUGGUGCUUCGAAACGACGAACUUUCACAAUGGUGCACAGUUAGGGGGAACACUUUCUUGAAAUUUUAAUGAGGGAUCAUCUUAUUUACUACUAUCGUUCUAAGCAAAUAAGAUGUAUGAACAUGAUAAACAUCACAUGCAAUCAAAUAGUGACAUGAUAUGGCCAAUAUCAUUUUGCUCCUUUUGAUCUCCAUCUUCGGGGCUCCAUGAUCAUCAUCGUCACCGGCAUGACACCAUGAUCUCCAUCAUCAUGAUCUCCAUCAUCGUGUCUCCAUGAAGUUGUCUCGCCAACUUAUUACUUCUACUACUAUGGCUACCGGUUAGCAAUAAAGUAAAGUAAUUACAUGGCGUUGUUCAAUGACACACAGGUCAUACAAUAAAUAAAGACAACUCCUAUGGCUCCUGCCGGUUGUCAUACUCAUCGACAUGCAAGUCGUGAUUCCUAUUACAAGAACAUGAUCAAUCUCAUACAUCACAUAUCAUUCAUCACAUUCUUCUUGGCCAUAUCACAUCACAUAGCAUACCCUGCAAAAACAAGUUAGACGUCCUCUAAUUGUUGUUUGCAUGUUUUAUGUGGCUGCUAUGGGUUUCUAGCAAGAACGUUUCUUACCUAUGCAAAACCACAACGUGAUAUGCCAAUUGCUAUUUACCCUUCAUAAGGUCCCUUUUCAUCGAAUCUGUUCCGACUAAAGUGGGAGAGACUGGCACCCGCUAGCCACCUUAUGCACCAAGUGCAUGUCAGUCGGUGGAACCUGUCUCACGUAAGUGUAUGUGUAAGGUCGGUCCGGGCCGCUUCAUCCCACAAUACCGUCGAAAUAGUAUUGGACUAGUAACGGUAAGCAUAUUGAACAAAAUCAACGCCCACAACUACUUUGUGUUCUACUCGUGCAUAGAAUCUACGCAAUAGACCUAGCUCAUGAUGCCACUGUUGGGUAACGUAGCAGAAAUUCAAAAUUUUCCUACGUGUCACCAAGAUCUAUCUAUGGAGAAACCAGCAAUGAGGGGAAGGAGAGUGCAUCUACAUACCCUUGUAGAUCGCUAAGCGGAAGCGUUCAAGAGAACGGGGUUGAAGGAGUCGUACUCAUCAUGAUCCAAAUCACCGGAGAUCCUAGUGUCGAACGGACGGCACCUCCACGUUCAACACACGUACAGCCCGGUGAUGUCUCCCAUGCCUUGAUCCAGUAAGGAGAGAGGGAGAGGUUGAGGAAGACUCCAUCUAGCAGCAGCACAAUAGUGUGGUGGUGAUGGAGGAGCGUGGCAAUCCUGCAGGGCUUCGCCAAGCACCGCAGGAGAGGAGGAGUACUUGGGAGAGGGGGAGGGCUGCGCCAGAACUUGGGUGCGGCUGCCCUCCCACCCCCCCAUAUAUAUAGAGGCAAAGGAGAGGGGGCCCGGCCCCCUCAGAUCCAAUCUGAGGAGGGGGCGGCGGCCAGGGGGGUUGCCUUGCCCCCCAAGGCAAGGGGGCGCCCCCUUUUAGGGUUUCCCCCAAGCCCUAGGUGCCUUGGGCCUUGGUGGGGGGGCGCACCAGCCCACCUGGGGCUGGUCCCCUCCCACACUUGGCCCAUGCAGCCCCCUGGGGCCGGUGGCCCCACUUGGUGGACCCCCGGGACCCUCCCGGUGGUCCCGGUACGUUACCGAUAAAACCCGGAACUUUUCCGGUGACCAAAAUAGGACUUCCCAUAUAUAAAUCUUUACCUCCGGACCAUUUCGGAACUCCUCGUGACGUCUGGGAUCUCAUCCAGGACUCCGAACAACAUUCGGUAACCACAUACAAACUUCCUUUAUAACCCUAGCGUCAUCGAACCUUAAGUGUGUAGACCCUACGGGUUCGGGAACCAUGCAGACAUGACCGAGACGUUCUUCGGUGAAUAACCAACAGCGGGAUCUGGAUACCCAUGUUGGCUCCCACAUGUUCCACGAUGAUCUCAUCGGAUGAACCACGAUGUCAAGGACUCAAUCGAUCCCGUAUACCAUUCCCUUUGUCUAGCGGUAUUGUACUUGCCCGAGAUUCGAUCGUCGGUAUGCCGAUACCUUGUUCAAUCUUGUUACUGGCAAGUCUCUUUACUCGUUCCGUAACACAUCAUCCCGUGAUCAACCCCUUGGUCACAUUGUGCACAUUAUGAUGAUGUCCUACCGAGUGGGCCCAGAGAUACCUCUCCAUUACACGGAGUGACAAAUCCCAGUCUCGAUUCAUGCCAACCCAACAGACACUUUCGGAGAUACAUGUAGUGCACCUUUAUAGCCACCUAGUUACGUUGUGACUUUUGGUACACCCAAAGCAUUCCUAUGGUAUCCGGGAGUUGCAUAAUCUCAUGGUCUAAGGAAAAGAUACUUGACAUUAGAAAAGCUUUAGCAUACGAACUACAUGAUCUUUGUGCUAGGCUUAGGAUUGGGUCUUGUCUGUCACAUCAUUCUCCUAAUAAUGUGAUCCCAUUAUCAACGACAUCCAAUGUCCAUGGUCAGGAAACCAUAACCAUCUAUUGAUCAACGAGCUAGUCAACUAGAGGCUUACUAGGGACAUGGUGUUGUCUAUGUACCCACACAUGUAUCUGAGUUUCCUAUCAAUACAAUUAUAGCAUGGAUAAUAAACGAUUAUCAUGAACAAGGAAAUAUAAUAAUAACUAAUUUAUUAUUGCCUCUAGGGCAUAUUUCCAACAGCUUUAACCCCAAGGCAGCUGCAGCUUUCAAGCCCGCUGUCAGGCCCUUGUACUCUGCUACCCAUCCUCGCCUGGAUGGGGAGCUACUCUGGGCAGGCGGCGGUUGCCGCGCAUGACUCUCGAUUCCUCUAACUCCUGAGCGACCUUGGUGAUGAACUCCUGAGGGUUGGGUCCUUCUUUCCUUACACCUUCCUGAGGGAAGCAUGCCGUGAAGCACGCCUCCAAGUGGUGCCCAAGCGCCUCCCUCGUGAUCUUGGCAAAGUCGGUGGCUCCCCAGGAGAGAGCCCCCGAGCCCUGCCCGAGGAGGGCGCCGGGCACGCCUUCCUAUGUGACGGAGGGUGGCGCCCCUUGAACGGGUGCAUGUCCAGAUGUGGCGCCUCCGGAGGUGCCUGCCUCCUGAGGCCUUGAACCAGGUGAUGUCUUCUUCUUCUUGGGAGCUGCUCUAGGAAUGUUUCCACUCCUGCUGUCCGGGUCCUCGAUCGACGCGGCCUGGAAGGCGCGCUCGAGGGAGCACACCGCAUCCUUCUCUUCACAGGGGACCAUGAUGACCCCACCGCUUCCUGGCAUCUUGAGGACGUUCUAGCCAUGGUGAGUCACUGCCAUGAACUUGUCUAGGGCUGGGUACCCGAGGAUGGCAUUGUAUGGCAGGCGAAUGUGGGCGACGUCAAAGUCAAUGAGCUCGGUGCGGUAGUUGUUGCACUGUCCAAAGGUGACAGGAAGGCGGACCUGCCCUAUCGGGAUAGUGGAACCAUCAGUGACUCCUGAGAAAGGCUUGGUUGGCUGAAGCUGAUCAUAUGGCACUUGGAGAUUGUUGAACGUCUCGACGGACAAGACGUUGAGACCUGCCCCGCCAUCGAUGAGGGUCCUGGUAACUUGCAUGUUGCUGAUGAUUGGGGAACAGAGCAUUGGGAGGACACCGGCCAUUGCCGCACACUUGAGCUGAUCCGCUGAGCUGAACGUGAUGGCGCACGCAGACCACCUGAGAGGGUGCGCGGCCUCAAGCUUGUGGAGGACUGCAUUCACCUCGCGAGCAAACUGCUUGAAGAUGUGCUGUGAGGCUGGGGCCUGAGCGCUGCCCAGGAUGCAAGCGAUUGCAUGUGGCUCCUGGAAGCCCCCAGCCCCCUCGUCCUGAUGAUGGUCUUCAUUCCUUCUUGGUGGUGGUGGCAGAGGAGGAACGCCUGCGUUGCCUUGUGGGCGAUCCUCACGAGGCUGAUCUCUCCAAGAUCCCUGGUCCUGCCAGCGGUCCUCGCGAGGUCGGUCACGCCACCCUUGGCGAGGGCCACGGUCGUCCCAUCGUCCUCCGCCUCUUGCUCCGCCUCGGCCGUAGCCCCGGUCAUUGCGCUCGGGGCAUCGACAGACGUGGCCUUCUCACACGGCCCUGAGCUCUUGGCAUUCGUUGGUGUUGUGAGUAUGGAGGUCGUGGUACACACAGUACCGGCUACCCUUGGACGAUUCUGGCUGGUCCCUGCCAUGCUUUGUGUCUGGCUCUAGUGCGAGCACAGCUACUCCCUUGCACUUCACAUCCUUGGCCUUGGCUUUCUUCUCUUCUGGGUCUGCUGCUGGGAGCUCGAGAAGGGAUAGGCGCCCUUCCUCAGCCCUUGCGCACUUGGUCGCCAGGUUGAACAGCUCUAGGGACGUACAUAGGUCUUCGUGGGUCGCCAGCUCUUCCUUCAUCUUGACAUUGCGGACGCCAUCAGAGAAUGCAGAGAUAAUGGCCUCCUCAGUCACCCUGGGGAUCUUGAGGCGGGCAUUGUUGAAGCGCUGGAUGUACUUUUGUAGGGUCUCUCCGGGCUGCUGCUUGAUGCGGCGCAGGUCACCCACGGCCGGUGGACGGUCGGGAGUGCCCUGGAAGUUGGCGAUGAAGCGAGUGCACAUCUCGUCCCAGGAGGAGACCGUGCCGGGAGGCAGGUUCAGGAGCCAGGUACGGGCAUCGGACGCGGUGGGUCUCGUCCUGGGGCCGCGCGCCUUGGAGCCAGGGCGCCAUCUUGGGGAGGAUGUGGCGGAGGCACCUCCUGAUUUGCGCCUCCUGCGCAGGACGAAGGACGAGGCAACGAGAGGGACGAUGCAGGGGAGCCCCCUGCGGCGCUGUCGAGCUCUGUGAUGCGGGCGAGCCACUCCUCAUAGAGAUUGUCGACGGGACGGUAGUGCAGGAGCUCACGCGCCACGAGCAAUGCGGCGUGCACAUCCGUGGGGGCGCGAAGGCGUGGGACGAUGAACCGACUGGAGUCAGCGACGGGGUGGCGGUGCGGCCUUCCCGCCGCACCGAAGGAUGCAGAGACGAGGCCUGCUGCUCGUUCCCCGCUGGGCCAGUGGUGGCGUUGGCGGCAGGCGACGGGGAACAACGGGGACACCCGCUGACGGGAGCCGUCUGGGCGACACGGGCAGCGAGAGCAGCCCGGCGCUCGGUGCUAGCCCGACGAGCGUCAGCCUUGGACUCGAUCGAAGAUCGAACGCGAAGCAGCGGAAGAAAGAUUCCGGUGCACCCCUACCUGGCGUGCCAAAUGUCAGAUGUUGGGUUCCGGCAGACCCUUAAGGUUCGAACUCUGGGGUGCGCACGAAGAUCUCUCCCCUACCAAUCUACGUCCGAUCGUCUCGUGAGAUCUAGGCUAAAAGCGAUGAACAACACGAGGGACACAAGAUUUAUACUGGUUCGGGCCACCGUUGUGGUGUAAUAACCUACUCCACUGUGUGGUGUGGUGGAUUGCCUCAGGGGCUGAUGAUGAACAGUACAAGGGAAGAACAGCCUCGUGAGAGGUGUUCUUGGGCUGGUGCGAUGAACUACUUGGGUGAGUUCGAUCGCCUCUCUCUCUCUCUGUCCUUCCUAAGUCUUGAUCUGAUCCCCCUACUCUGUGGUGGCUAGCUCUAUUUAUAGAGGCCCUGGUCCUCUUCCCAAAUAUUGAGCGGGAAGGGCGCCAACAACGGCCAUUUUGAAGGGGAACAUCUAGUACAAGUGAUCCUGACUAAAGUUGGUCUUCGGCUGCCAAAAGCACUAGUGAUGAUGCCGUAUUGGGCUCCACGAUGACCUCCAUCCCGCUGCUCCGCUGGUCUUGGUCUUGUUGCACUAAAAUGGCAACCUUUGCCUGAUGCCUCGGUACCCUACGCUUGUGCUUGCCCCCUUUGCACCAAAGAGGAAACAAGGACACUGCACAGGGCGGCGCCCGCCUGGCGCCCGCCUGGUCUCGAUCGUCAUGGCUUGCGUCACGAGCACCUCGCGAGGUACCCUGCCUUGAUCUCUUCGCCUCCUCGCGAGCCUGCCUGGCGAGGCCGCUCCUAAGGAAAGCCUUGCGUCAUCUGCCCCACGAGGCUUGGCCCCUCGCGAGGGUCUUGAGUCUUGUGCUGAUGAAGAUGGGUCGUACUGGGCCUCCACUUGAGCCACACCGCAGGUCGCAGGCAGACAAGUCUGGGGACCCCCAUUCCCAGAAUGCCGAUAGGUUGCAUGCUUAAUUAGGUCCCAUGCAAGAAAUGAGAAUGAAUGUCAAACACCCUGCCACCAUCACUCAGCCGCAAUAUAUACCUGGUUUUAAAUUCUAGUAAAUCCAAAGCUCGUCUGAAAUUCAUGAAACUUGGCAUGCUGUCAUGGAGCAACAUCAACAUGUCAUGGUAAAUUUUUUGUCCCAUUUGGGGCAGGUUUGGGGAUAUGCUUCUCCCAAACCAAAGCUUCUCACAACAAGCCCGCUGGUUUCCGUAGGGAACGUUUCACCUUUCUGGAUGAAACAAUAUGCAUUGCCUCUUCUCGAUUUCAAUUUUUUCCUAGUGUCAACAUAGAACAACAGGGGUGUUGUGUCAAUUUUUGGGAGUUUUGGGGGUUCGCUUGGACAUUUUUAUACAUUAACUGAGUUUUCUAUGCAUUCAUGUCCAUAAUUAAAUUUUCAACUACAUGCACAUGCUCUAAUGCAUAUAAAUUAGUUGAAAAUUCAAAUCUGUGUCCUUGGUUGCAUGCUUAAUUAGGUCCCAUGCAAGAAAUGAGAAUGGAUGUCAAACACCCUGCCACCGUCACUCGGUCACAAAUAUUGAGAUAUAUACCUAGUUUUUAAAUUCUAGUAAAUCCAAAGCUCGUCUAAAAUUCAUGAAACUUGCAUGUUGUCAUGGAGCGGUAUCAACAUGCCGUGGUAAAAUUUUUGUCUCAUUUGGGACAGGUUUGGGGUACGCUUCUCACAACAAGCCCAAUGGUUUCGGUAGGGAACGUUUCACCUUUCUGGAUGAAACGAUAUGCAUUGCCUCUUCUCGAUUUCAAUUUUUUCCCUAGUGUCAACAUAGAACAACAGGGGUGUUGUGUCAAUUUUUGGGAUUUUUGGGGGUUCGCUUGAACAUUUUUAUACAUUAACUGAGUUUUCUAUGCAUUCAUGUGCAUAAUUCAAAUUUGUACUACACGCACAUGCUCUAAAUUGGUUGAAAAUUCAAAUAUGUGUCCUUGGUUGCAUGCUUAGGUUCCAUGUGAGAAAUGAGAAUGAAUGUCAAACACCCUGCCACCAUCACUCGGCCGCAAACAUUGAGAUGCAUGGUUUUUAAAUUCUAGUAAAUCCAAAACUCGUCUGAAAUUCAUGAAACUUGGCAUGCAUGCUAUCAUGGAGAUGCAUUAACAUGCCAUGGUAAAAAAUUGUCCCAUUUGGGGUAGGUUUGGGGAUAUGCUUCUCAAAAACUAGAGCUUCUCAUAACAAGCCUGAUGGUUUCGGUAGGGAACGUCCCACCUUUGGGGACAAAAUGAUAUCCAUUGCCUCUUAUUGCUUUGAAUUUUUUUUCUCGUGUCAACAUAGAACAACAGGAGUGUUGUGUCAAUUUUUUGGGAUUUUUCGGGGUUUGUUUGAACAUUUUAUGCAUUAAUUGAGUUUUUCAAUGCAUUUAUGUGCAUAAUUCAAAGUUUAACCAUUCACGUGACGCCACGUGUCUUGGUUUUAAUGGCUAUGGGUUUUAAUGGAUCUUGAUCGCAAACGUUUUAGAAAGAACACCCAUAUGCAAAGUGAGAGCAGGAUUUGUGCAUCUCUUCAACGCAAAAACGUUUGUUUUGGAUGACCCGUGUGCAACCACUUUACAAACAAUUUGGUAAGAUUUGCAUCUGUCAUAUUGGGUAUGUUGCCAUUUGUCAAACUGGAAAGAUUGACAUUUGCCAUUUAACUUGUAACACUGUGAUUUGUCAAAAUAUGAAGCUAAAAAUCACUAGCAGUAUCUAAUUUUUGCAACUAAAAUUCAGUAAUUAAGCAUAGAUGGAGGCAAGGAGGCGUGUUCAGCCGGGCGUGCAGCGGGCGGCGCAGUACUAUUCGAUUUGACAGCGGGCGGCGCAGUUCCCAAUACGGCUUUAAUGCAGACAAGGGAGAGGGUAGCGGUUCCUAAAAUGUGGAAUGACCAAUGAUGCAUCCUCCUUCAAUUAGCAUCAUGAAAAUGCAUGAGGGAAGUAAUGGGAGGAGGACCGGGAAAAUAGGCAGCACGAUGUGAAUGCAACGCAGUUUACACUCAUAUAAAGGCGCCCCUCCAUUCCAAUGCAUCUACCACAUCUUACGCAGCUAAGCAUUUGCCUAAGCACCCACACUAAGCGCAAAAGUGCUCACUCCAGACCCAUGGUGGCGAUGCUCGCGAGCGGCCAACGGCUGUGCCAGACGGUCCACGAUGCCAGCCUGCGGCAUGGCACCGAGGAUCGUUUCCAGAUGGUGUUGGCGACCGGUUGGUGGAUGGCCGCCGUCAAUGCCAGCUACGACUCUUAGUUGGACUAGAUGAUCGUUGCCACCACCAACAAGUUCACCGUCGUCAAGAAGCUCGUGGACGACAUUGUCGUACUCCUCCAGACCAUGCGCCCGGGCUCCUCAUUGCCUGCCACCCUAACCGGCCUCCAUGGUCGAAACCUCUUUCAAGCAUUGGUGGCCCUGCGACUGCCCGCCGACGCCACGAAGAAUGUCCACCUGGAGGUCGCACUCGCCGCGAGGCGCCUCCCCCUGCAAGAAUUCGUCGACCUACACAUCCACAUGUAUGAGCAAAUCAUGUACAUAGGUAUCUACAAGGCCAGUGAGGACGGUACGCCAUUGGACUUCUUCAACUGGCUGGAAGCCUUGGAUGCCUUUGCUGAGAAGCACCUUGACCUCGCCACAAAAGAUGCCGCUCCUUAGCCACCGAUCGGUGGCCCGGCACACUGAUUUGAGGAGGAGGUCGUACGUUGAUGGAUGCAUCUUUCUUCUUGCCUCCUUAAUUCUUAUUGUGCUAUUGCAUUCUCGUUCCAGUCAAUACAGACAUGUGCGAUCCCUUUGCUUAAUUAUAUGCAUCACUAUAACUAGUACUCCAUCCUGUCAAUUUAUAAGUUGUGUUGCCAGUGUUUGGAGCCGGCGCACGACACAAUAAGCACACCCACGACGACACAUACAGAGAGAACAUCCAGCGGUUCCAAUGGCGAUUUGUCAAAAUUGUUGGGGAACACGGUAAUGUCAAAAUUUUCCUACGCACACGCAAGAUCAUGGUGAUGCAUAGCAACGAGUGGGAGAGUGUUGUCCACGUACCCUCAUAGACCGUAAGCGGAAGCGUUAUGACAACACAGUUGAUGUAGUCGUACGUCUUCACGAUCCGACCGAUCUUAGUACCGAAAGCACGGCACCUCCACGAUCUGCACACGUUCGGCUCGGUGGCGUCCCACAAACUCAUGAUCCAGCAGAGUGUCGAGGGAGAGUUUCGUCAGCACGAUGACAUGAUGACGGUGAUGAUGAAGCUAUCGGCAUAGGGCUUCGCCUAAGCACUGCAACGAUAUGACCGAGGUGGAUUAUGGUGGAGGGGUCACCGCACACGGCUAAGAGAUCAAUGAUCAACUUGUGUGUCUAUGGGGUGCCCCCUCCCCGUAUAUAAAGGAGUGGAGGAGGGGGAGGGCCGCCCCUCUACUAUGGCGCGCCCUGGGGAGUCCUACUCCCACCGGGAGUAGGAUUCCUCCUCUUCCAAGUAGUAGGAGUAGUAGAGAAGGAAGGGGAAGAGAGAAGAGAAGCAAGGAGGGGGAGCCGCCCCUCCCCCUAGUCCAAUUCGGACUAGGCCUUGGGGGGUGCGCGACCUGCCCUACGAAACCCCUCUCUCUCUCCCUUAAAGCACAAUAAGGCCCAUAUACUCCCCGGCGAAUUCCCGUAACUCUCCGGUACUCCGAUAAAUACCCGAACCACUCAGAACCUUUCUGUCGGCAUUCUGGGAACGGGGGACCCCAGACUUGUCUACCUGCGAUCCACGGCGUGGCUCAACCAGUGGCCCAGUACGACCCGUCUUCACCAACCAAACACUCAAGACCAUUGCGAGGAGCCAAGCCUCGCAGGGCGGACGACACAAGGCCUACACAGGAGUGGCCUCACCAGGCCGACUCGCGAGGAGGCAGAGAGAUCAAGCCAAGGGGUAACUCGCGAGGUUCCCAUGACACAAGCCAUGACGAUCGAGACCAGGCGGGCGCCAGGCGGGCGCCAGCCCGCGUAGUGCCCUCGUUUCCUCUUUGGCGCAAAGGGGGCAAGCGCAGGCGUGGAGUAUCGAGGCAUCAAGCAAAGGUUUCCAUAUUGGUGCAACAAGACCAAGACCAGCAGGACGGCAGGAAGGAGGUCACCGUGGAGCCCAAGACGGCGUCAUCACCAGCACCUUUGGCAGGCGAAGACUACCUUUAGUCAGGAUAGCUUGUACUAGUUGCCCCCUUUCAAAAUGGCCGUUGUUGGAUCCCUUCCCGCUCAAUAUUUGGGAAGAGGACCAGUGCCUUUAUAAAUAGAGCUAGCCACCACAGUAGGAAGGCAUCUGGGAUCUCAUCUAGAGACAAGUUCAUCCACUCACCACACCAACCCAAGAACACCUCUUCUCGCGAGGCUGUUCUUCCCCUGUACUGUUCAUCAUCAGCCCACAAGGCAAUGCACCACCACACACAGGAGUAGGGUAUUACACCACAAUGGUGGCCCGAACCUGUAUAAAUCUUGUGUCUCUUGUGCUUUGAGUUCAUCGAUCUAGCUUAGGGAUCGCGGCGAGGCUGAGAGCGAGAUUCGGUAGGAGGAGAUCUUCAUGCACACCCCAGUGUUCGAACCUUAAGGGUUUCGCCGAAACCCGAUAUCCGACAUUUGGCGCGCCAGGUAGGGGUGUGCCGGAGCUCUUCCUUCCGUCGACCUGUUCUCCACCAACACCGCGCUUCGCCCUCAUGGCGGGCAUCACGCCUCCGGCUCCGGCGGCCGACGCCAGCACCGGGGCCAGGGGGCUCCGAGCCUUGUCCCUCGCCUUGCGGCAGGUGCAGUGGCCGCACAAGUUCAAGCCAGAGAUGCCGCCGCGCUACGACGGCGCAGCGGACCCGCUGGCUUUCCUGCUGGCGUACGAGGAGGCCGUCCUCAAGGCCAGAGGCGACGACAAGGUCAUGGCCAACUGGCUUGCCAUGGCCCUCACCGGCGUCCUGCGCGCUUGGCUGCUCAACCUGCCGUCAUCUUUUGUGACCUCCUGGGAGGAACUGCACAACCUUUUCCUCGCCCACUACGUGGCGACGGCGCCCCCGGUCGUCACAGCUCUCCAGGGCGACUCGCAGGCACCACCCUCAGACCGCCACACCAAGCCGUUCUUUCGCCAGAUCGGCGCCGCCUUCACGUGGCAAGGAGCUCCCCCGGGUUGGGUGGCACCCAAGGCCGACCUGACCUUCAACUCGGACGAUCACCCCGUCAACACCGCUUGCUCAGGCGCACUCCCGAUGCUCUGCAUGCCCACCAUCUACCAGGUGGGCGUCACCAAAACCCUCAUCGAUGGCGGAGCCGGCCUCAACGUGCUCUCGAUGGAGGCUUUCAGCCUCCUCCAUGUACCGCUAGAACAACUCCAACCCAGCAAGCCCUUCUAGGGCAUCAGAGGCAGUUCCUGCGGUCCCCCGGGGCAGAUCCGCCUUCUUGUGACCUUCGGCACCCAUGGCAACUAUCGCAUGGAGCUGGUCGACUUCGACAUCGCCCACAUGGGCCUCCCAUACAACGCCAUCCUCGAAUACCCUGCCUUGGCUCAGUUCAUGGCAGUGACCCAUCCAGCCUACAACCUCAUGAAGAUGCCCGGGAGCAACAGCAUCCUCACCGUAGCUGGAGAUACCAAGGAGGCUCUGCUGGCGCUCAAGCUCGCCCUCAAGACCGUCGCGGUGGCAUAGCCUGCCGGCACAGACACAUCCAAGGCCAAGGGGGCUGACCGGCCAAGAAGAAGCAGUUGUUCACUCUGGACAAGGCAGAGACCAAGCAGGUGCCAGUUGAGGAGGACGGGUCCUGAGGAGCCACCUUCACCAUAGGUGCCAACCUCGACCCCGACCAAGAGGAGGUGUUGGUGAGGUUCUUGCGCUCGAACAAGGAGGUGUCCGCAUGGGAACCCAAGCAGCUAGCGGGGGUCCCAAGGAAGGUGAUUGAGCAUCACCUGAAUGUGUGCCCCAAUGUACACCCCGUGAAGCAGAAAGCGAGGCGGUAGUCCACCGAGAAGCAGGCUUUCAUCAUCCAAGAAACCCGCAAGCUAGAGGUAGCAGGUGUUAUUCGCGAGGUUCGCUACCCCGAAUGGCUGGCAAACCCCGUUGUCGUGCCGAAGAAGGGAGGAAAGGAGCGCAUGUGCGUCGACUUCACCAACCUCAACAAGGCCUGACCACAAGAUCCGUUCUUGCUCCUCCGCAUUGACCAGAUUGUCAACUCCACCGCCGAGUGCGACCUGCUGUGUUUCCUGGAUGCAUUUUCGGGUUAUCACCAAAUCAAGAUGGCGGUGGAAGACGUGGAGAAGACAGCCUUCCUGACCCCAUGUGGAGUGUACUGCUACACUUGCAUGCCGUUCGGGUUGCACAACACGGGCGUGACCUUCCAGCGGCUGGUGCACAUCGCCUUAGGCCGGCAGCAAGGGAAAAACACCGAGGCUUACGUCGACGACAUUGUGGUGAAAUCUCGAGAGGCAAGGACCAUGAUCCAGGAUUUGGAGGAGACCUUCGCGAGCCUCCGCCAGGUAGACCUGCGACUCAACCCGGAGAAUUGUCUGUUUGGCGUCCCUUCCGGCAAGCUACUGGGCUUCCUCGUGUCCCACAGGGGAAUCGAGGCCAACCCAGAGAAGGUCAAGGCAAUUGAAGACAUGAGUCCUUCGCAAACCCUCAGAGAAAUGCAGAAGCUCGCCGGUCGCGUGACUGCGUUAGGAUGCUUCAUCUCCAAGAUGGGGGAGUGUGCCCUGCCGUUCUUCAAGCUAUUGAAGAAGAAAGGCCCAUUUGAGUGGACACAAGAGGCCGACCAAGCGUUUCAAGACCUCAAGAAAUAUCUGACUAGCCCUCCGAUGAUGGUGGCACCGCGCCCUCUUGAGUCCCUGGUGCUCUACCUCGUCGCCACUCCUUACUCCGCCAGCGCAGCCCUGGUGGCGGUUCGGGAGGAAUGCCAGGCUAAGGCUGCAUCACAACCGGCCACGGCCUCAGCCGUGUCGACACAAGACCAGGAAGGCCUCGCGAGGACCACAAUCAUGGAAGCCGGAGACCAACCUCAGCAUGAAGACGCCCCAAGGGCUGAAAAGGCCGCACCAAGCAACCGGGCACUAGGGGCUCCAUUGUCUCAGGAAGCAUCUCAACCUCCGGAGAACGCAAGCCUCGUCAGCACAUCCACCCUCGUCGAGCAUCCGGUGUACUUCGUCAGCACGGUGUUGCAGGAUGCAAGGGCACGAUACCCCAUGCCUCAGAAACUCUUACUUGCGCUCUUGGUGGCCUCGCGUAAGCUGUGGCACUACUUUCAAGGUCACCCCAUCAAGGUCGUAUUGGCCUACCCAUUGGAAAGGGUACUCAGGAGCCCCAACUCCGCUGGAAGGGUCGCCGAGUGGAACAUCGAGCUGCAGGUGUUCCAGUUGGAGUUCAGCGCAACCAGGGUCGUCAAGGGAGCCGUGCUUGCUGAUUUUGUGGCAGAAUGGACAGAAGCACCAGGGCUCAAGGCGGGCGAGGAUCAGUCUCUCUCCCAAGGAAGUGAGGUACCAGAUGGCUGGGUCAUGUACUUCGAUGGAGCAUUCUCGCGGCAGGGCGCGGGGGCUGGUGCAGUGUUUAUAUCCCCCACUCAGGACAAGCUUUAUUAUGUUGUACAACUCUGUUUCCAGCAGGGCGAGAAGGUCUCCAACAACAUAGCAGAAUAUGAGGGCCUCAUAGCAGGCCUGAAAGCUGCAGUAGCUAUGGGAGUGAAGCGUCUUAUCAUCAAGGGCGAUUCACAGCUCCUCGUCAACUUCUCCAACAAGGUGUACGAGCUGAAGGACGAGCACAUGGAGGCAUAUCUUGCGGAAGUACGCAAGAUGGAGAAGCAGUUCUGGGGGCUAGAGCUACAGCAUGUGCCCCGCGACACCAACCAAGAGGCUGAUGACAUUGCCAAUAGGGCGUCCAGGCGACUACCUCAGGAACCUGGCAUUUUCGAGGAGUGACUCUUCAAGCCGUCGGCGACACCAUCACUCUCAAGCACAGCACAGCCUUGGGAAGAACUCCCUCAGUCGCCUGCCACAGAAGCCCCGGCCUGUGGCCCGACCUCGGGAGCAUGCUUACUCUUGGCGAUGGAGCCUCAGGAGGGAUGCUGGAUGAUGUCUACUACACAACCUUCUUCUUGUAGAUGUUGUUGGGCCUGCAAGUGCACAUGUUUGUAGGACAGUAGCAAAUUUCCCUCAAGUGGAUGACCUAAGGUUUAUCAAUCCGUAGGAGGCGUAGGAUGAAGAUGGUCUCUCUCAAACAACCCUGCAAUCAAAUAACAAAGAGUCUCUUGUGUCCCCAACACACCCAAUACAAUGGUAAAUUGUAUAGGUGCACUAGUUCGGCAAAGAGAUGAAUAUACAAGUGCAAAAUAGAUAGUAGAUAUAGGUUUUUGUAAUCUGAAAUAAUAAAAACAGCAAGGUGGCGAGCGGUAAAAGUGAGCGUAAACGGUAUUGCAAUGGUAGGAAACAAGGCCUAGGGUUCAUACUUUCACUAGUGCAAGUUCUCUCAACAAUAAUAACAUAGAUAGAACAUAUGACAAGCCCUCAACAUGCGACAAAGAGUCACUCCAAAGCCACUAAUAGCGGAGAACAAACGUAGAGAUUAUGGUAGGAUACGAAACCACCUCAAAGUUAUUCGUUCGGAUCGGUCUAUAAAAGAGUUCGUACUAGAAUAACACCUUAAGACACAAAUCAACCAAAACCAUAAUGUCACCUAGAUACUCCAUUGUCACCUCAAGUAUCCGUGGGCAUGAUUAAACGAUAUGCAUCACACAAUCUCCGAUUCAUCCAACCAACAUAAAAGUACUUCAAAGAGUGCCCCAAAGCUACUACCGGAGAGUCAAGAACGUGUGCCAACCCCUAUGCAUAGGUUCCCAAAUGUCACGAAACCCGCAAGUUGAUCACCAAAACAUACAUCAAGUGGAUCAAUAGAAUAACCCAUUGUCACCACGGUUAUCCCACGCAAGACAUACAUCAAGUGUUCAUAAAAGACUCAAUCCGAUAAAAUAACUUCAAAGGGGAAACUCAACUCAUCACAAGAGAGUAGAGGGGGAGAAACAUCAUAAGAUCCAACUACAAUAGCAAAGCUCGGGAUACAUCAAGAUCGUGCCAUAGAGGAACACGAGAGAGAACACGAGAGAGAGAGAGAGAGAGAGAUCAAACACAUAGCUACUGGUACAUACCCUCAGCCCCGAGGGUGAACUACUCCCUCCUCGUCAUGGAUAGCGUCGGGGUGAUGAAGAUGGCCUCCGGUGAUGGGAUCCCCCUCCGGUAGGGUGCCGGAACAGGGUCCCGAUUGGUUUUUGGUGGCUACAGAGGCUUGCAGCGGCGGAACUCCCGAUCUAUCUUCUGUUCUGGAAGUUUUAGGGUACGUAGGUAUAUAUGGGUACAGGGGGUACGUCGGUGGACCUCCGGGUUGCUCACGAGGUAGGGGUGCGCCCCCCACUCUCAUGGGCAGCCCGGGACUCCCCUGACGUGCACUGCAAGUCCAACAGGUUGGUUUCCUUCCAAAAUUAACUUCUCCAGUUGAUUUCAUUCCGUUUUGACUCCGUCUGAUAUUCCUUUUCCUCGAAACACUGAAAUAGGCAUAAAACAGCAAAUCUGGGCUCGGCCUCUGGUUAAUAGGUUAGUCCCAAAAAUAAUAUAAAAGUGGAUAAUAAAGCCCAGUAUUGCCUAAAACAAUAGAUAAAGUAGCAUGGAGCAAUCAAAAAUUAUAGAUACGUUGGAGACGUAUCAAGCAUCCCCAAGCUUAAUUCCUGCUUGUCCUCGAGUAGGUAAAUGAUAAAAAAGAAUUUUUGAUGUGGAGUGAUACUUUGGCAUAAUUUCAAUUUAAAUCUUCUCAAUUGUGAUAUGAAUAUUCAGAUCCAAAAGAUUCAAGACAAAAGUUCAUAUUGACACAAAAAUAAUAAUACUUCAAGCAUACUAAUCAAAGCAAUCAUGUCUUCUCAAAAUAGCAUGGCAAAAGAAAGUUCAUCCCUACAAAAUCAUAUAGUUAGGCUAUGCUUCAUUUUCAUCACACAAAGAUGUUCCCAACUUCUAUACCCCCGAUGACAAGCCAAGCAAUUGUUUCAUACUUAAAUAAUCUCAAAAAAAUUCAACCUUCACGCAAUACAUGAGCAUGAGCCAUGGAUAAAGCACUAUGGGUGGAAUAGAAUAUGAUGAUGGGGAUUGUGUGGAGAAGACAAAAAAAAGAGAAAGUCUCAUAUUGACGAGGAUAAUCAACGGGCUAUGGAGAUGCCCAUCAAUUGAUGUCAACAUGAGGAGUAGGGAUUGCCAUGCAACAGAUGCACUAGAGCUAUGAAUGCUCAAUAAAAGAAAACUAGUGGGCGUGCAUCCAACUUGCUUGCUCACGAAUACCUAGGGCAUUUGAGGAAGCCCAUCGUAGGAAUAUACAAGCCAAGUUCUAUAAUGAAAAAAUCCCACUAGUAUAAAAGAAGACAACUUAUGAGACUCACUACAUGAAGAACAAGGUGAUACUUUGAAGCACAAUAUAUGAGACUCACUACAUGAAGAACAAGGUGCUACUUUGAAGCACAAGUGUGGAAAAAGAGAUAGUAGCAUUGCCCUUUCCUUUUCUUUUUUUUAAUUUUUUUGGGCCUUUCUUUUUUUCUUUUGGCCUUUCUCUUUUUUUUGAUUGGGCAAUGCUCUAAUAAUGAUGAUCAUCACACUUCUAUUGAUUACAACAUAAGGAUUACAACUCGAAACUUAGAACAAGAUAUGACUCUAUAUGAAUGCCUCCGGCGGUGUACCGGGAUGGUGCAAUGAAUCAAGAGUGACAUGUAUGAAAAAUAAUGCAUGGUGGCUUUGCCACAAAUACGAUGUCAACUACAUGAUCAUGCAAUGGAAAUAUGACAAAAGUAAUGUAUGUCAUGAUGAUGAUGAUGCAAGUUGCAUGGCAAUAUAUCUCGGAAUGGCUAUGGAAAUGCCAUGAUAGGUAGGUAUGGUGGCUGUUUUGAGGAAGAUAUAAGGAGGUUUAUGUAUGAUAGAGCGUAUCGUAUCACGGGGUUUGAAUGCACCGGCGAAGUUUGCACCAACUCUCAAGGUGAGAAAGGGCAAUGCACGGUACCGAAGAGGCUAACAAAGGCGGAAAGGUAAAAGUGCGUAUAAUCCAUGGACUCAACAUUAGUCAAAAGAACUCAUAUACUUAUUGCAAAAAUUUAGAAGUCAUCAAAAAUCAAGUACUACGCGCAUGCUCCUAGGGGGAUAGAUUGGUAGGAAAAGACCAUCGCUCGUCCCCGACCGCCACUCAUAAGGAUGCACAAGCCAGGUACACUUCAUAUUUCAAAUUUGUUACACAACUUUAACCAUACAUGCAUGCUACGGGACUUGCUAACUUCAACACAAGCAUUCUUUAAAUUCAUAAUCACCCAACUAGCAUGACUUUGAUAUUAUCACCUCCAUAUCUCAAAACAAUUAUCAAGCAUCAAACUUAUCUUAGUAUUCAAUUCACUCAAAAGAAAGUUUCACAUAUCUUGAAUACCAAGUAUAUUAACAUUAAGCAAAUUACCAUGCUAUUAACAACUCUCAAAAUAAUCUAAGUGAAGCAUGAGAGAUCAAUAGUUUCUUUAAAACAAAUCCACCACCGUGCUCUAAAAGAUAUAAGUGAAGCACUAGAGCAAACAACAAACUACUCCAAAAGAUAUAAGUGAAGAUCAAUGAGUAGUCGAAUAAUUAUGCAACUAUAUGAAGACUCUCUCUCAAUAAAGAAUUUCAGAUCUUGAUACUUUAUUCAAACAGCAAGCAACGCUAAAUAAAACUACAAUGCAAGGAUAGCACAACUCAUGUGAAGAAGCAAAAACUUUAGGCUCAACCGAUACUAACCAAUAGUUGUUGAAGAAGAAAGGUGGGAUGCCUACCGGGGCAUCCCCAAGCUUAGAUACUUGAGACUUCUUGAAAUAUUAUCUUGGGGUACCUUGGGCAUCCCCAAGCUUGAACUUUUGUGUCUCCUUAAUUCCUCUCAUAUCAUGGUUUCUCUUCUUUUUAUCAAAAGCUUCAUUUACAACAAACUCAACAAGAACUCGUGAGAUAGGUUAGUAUAAACCAAUGCAAAACCUUAUCAUUUUCUACUAUAACAAAUCACUAAAAUUAUUAUUCAACAUUGCAUACUAAAUGCCUCUGUAUAUUUAAUACUCCUAUCCUCAAAUAAAAUCAUUAAACAAGCAAACAUAUGCAAACAAUGCAACCAUAACAGCAAUCUGUCAAAACAGCACAGUCUGUAAAGAAUGCAAGAGUAUCAAUACUUCCCUGACUCCAAAAAUUAUGAACUAAAAUUCCCAUUGUAAUAAAUUUAUCAGAGCUUAAUAUGCAAAAAGAUUCAACGUUAGACCAUUAUAUGAAUUUUCUAGGGAAUUUUUGCAACAGCGGUAAACUUUUUGUUUUCAAACAGCAACAUAUAAACUUAGCAAAAUAAGCAUGGCAAAGGCUAUCCUUGACUUUUUUAUUGAGACUAAAGAUGCAAAACAAAUUCUAACUAACAGAAAGAAAAAACUAUCAAAAGAAAAUGAUGCUCCAAGCAAAACACAUAUCAUGUGGUGAAUAAAAAUAUAGCUCCAAGUAAAGUUACCGAUGAACGAAGACGAAAGAGGGGAUGCCUUCCGGGGCAUCCCCAACCUUAGUUGCUUGGUUAUCCCUGAAUAUUACCUUGGGGUGCCUUGGUCAUCCCCAAGCUUAGGCUCUUGCCACUCCUUAUUCCAUAGUCCAUCGAAUCUUUACCCAAAACUUGAAAACUUCAACCACACAAAACUCAAAACAAAACUCGUAAGCUCCGUUAGUAUAAGAAAAUAAAACCACCACUUAGGUACUGUAAUGAACUCAUUCUAAAUUCAUAUUGGUGUAAUAUCUACUGUAUUAUAAUAUCUCUAUGGUUCAUACCACUUAAUACUAGCCAUAGAUGCAUCAAAAUAAGCAAACAACACACAGAAAACAGAAUCUGUCAAAAACAGAACAGUCUGUAGUAAUCUAUAUCAAACUUAUACUUCUGGAACCCCAAAAAUUAUGAAAUAAAUUGCUGGAUCUGAGAAAUUUGUCUAUUAAUCAUCUUCAAAAAUAAUCAACCUAAAAGCACUCUCCAGUAAAAAAUGGCAGCUAAUCUUGUGAGCGCUAAAGUUUCUAUUUUUCACAGCAAGAUCAUAUAAACUUCACCCAAGUCUUCCCAAAGGUUCUACUUAGCACUUUAUUGAAACAAAAGCUAUAAAACAUGAUUACUACAGUAGCAUAAUCAUGUGGACACACAAAAACAGUAAGUAUAAAUAUUGGGUUGUCUCCCAACAAGCGCUUUUCUUUAAUGCCUUUCUAGCUAGGCAUGAUGAUGACAAUGAUGCUCACAUAAAAGAUAAGAAUUGAAACGUAACAGGAGCAUCAUGAAGCAUAUGAAUAGCACAUUUAAGUCUAACCCACUUCCUAUGCAUAGGGAUUUUGUAAGCAAACAACUUAUGGGAACAAUAAUCAACUAGCAUAGGAUGGCACAACAAGCAUAGCUUCAAGAAUUUAAGCACAUAGAGAGGAAACUUGACAUUAUUGCAAUUCCUACAAGUAUAUGUUCCUCCCUCAUAAUAAUUUUCAGUAGCAUCAUGAAUGAAUUCAACAAUAUAACCAGCACCUAAAGCGUUCUUUUCAUGAUCUACAAGCAUAGAAAAUUUUCUACUCUCCACAUAAGCAAACUUCUUCUUUAUAGCAUACGUAUCAUCACAAUAAUCAUCAUAAAUAGGAGGCAUGCUUUCAUAAUAGUAAUUUUGCUCAACAAAGCUUGGGGGACAAAAAAUAUCAUCUCCAUCAAACAUAGCUUCCCCAAGCUUGUGGCUUUACAUAUCAUUAGCAUCAUGGAUAUUCAAGGAAUUCAUACUAACAACAUUGCAAUCAUGCUCAUCAUUCAAAGAUUUAGUGCCAAACAUUUUAAAGAUUUCUUCUUCUAGCACUUGAGCACAAUUAUCCUUUCCAUCAUACUCACAAAAGAUAUUAAAAAGGUGAAGCGUAUGAGACAAACUCAACUCCAUUUUUUUUGUAGUUUUCUUUGAUAAACUAAACAAGUGCUAAAACACGAAACAAAAAGAUUCGAUUGCAAGAUCUAAAGAUAUACCUUCAAGCGCUAACCUCCCGGGCAACGGCGCCAGAAAAGAGCUUGAUGUCUACUACACAACCUUCUUCUUGUAGACGUUGUUGGUCCUGCAAGUGCACAGGUUUGUAGGACAGUAGAAAAUUUCCCUCAAGUGGAUGACCUAAGGUUUAUCAAUCCGUAGGAGGCGUAGGAUGAAGAUGGUCUCUCUCAAACAACCCUGCAAUCAAAUAACAAAGAGUCUCUUGUGUCCCCAACACACCCAAUACAAUGGUAAAUUGUAUAGGUGCACUAGUUCGGCGAAGAGAUGAAGAUACAAGUGCAAAAUUGAUAGUAGAUAUAGGUUUUUGUAAUCUGAAAUAAUAAAAACAGCAAGGUAGCGAGCGGUAAAAGUGAGCGUAAACGGUAUUGCAAUGGUAGGAAACAAGGCCUAGGGUUCAUACUUUCACUAGUGCAAGUUCUCUCAACAAUAAUAACAUAGAUAGAACAUAUGACAAGCCCUCAACAUGCGACAAAGAGUCACUCUAAAGCCACUAAUAGCGGAGAACAAACGUAGAGAUUAUGGUAGGGUACGAAACCACCUCAAAGUUAUUCGUUCGGAUCGAUCUAUAAAAGAGUUCGUACUAGAAUAACACCUUAAGACACAAAUCAACCAAAACCAUAAUGUCACCUAGAUACUCCAUUGUCAACUCAAGUAUCCGUGGGCAUGAUUAAACAAUAUGCAUCACACAAUCUCAGAUUCAUCCAACCAACAUAAAAGUACUUCAAAGAGUGCCCCAAAGCUACUACCGGAGAGUCAAGAACGUGUGCCAACCCCUAUGCAUAGGUUCCCCAAUGUCACGAAACCCGCAAGUUGAUCACCAAAACAUACAUUAAGUGGAUCAAUAGAAUAACCCAUUGUCACCACGGUUAUCCCACGCAAGACAUACAUCAAGUGUUCAUAAAAGACUCAAUCCGAUAAAAUAACUUCAAAGGGGAAACUCAAUUCAUCACAAGAGAGUAGAGGGGGAGAAACAUCAUAAGAUCCUACUACAAUAGCAAAGCUCGGGAUACAUCAAGAUCGUGCCAUAGAGGAACACGAGAGAGAACACGAGAGAGAGAGAGAGAUCAAACACAUAGCUACUGGUACAUACCCUCAGCCCCGAGGGUGAACUACUCCCUCCUCGUCAUGGAUAGCGCCAGGAUGAUGAAGAUGGCCUCCGGUGAUGGGAUCCCCCUCCGACAAGGUGUUAGAACAGGGUCCCGAUUGGUUUUUGGUGGCUACAGAGGCUUGCGGCGGCGGAACUCCCAAUCUAUCUUCUGUUCUGGAAGUUUUAGGGUACGUAGGUAUAUAUGGGUGCAGGGGGUACGUUGAUGGACCUCCGGGUUGCUCACGAGGUAGGGGGGCGCUCCCCUGACGUGCACUCCAAGUCCAACAGGUUGGUUUCCUUCCAAAAUUAACUUCUCUAGUUGAUUUCGUUCCGUUUUGACUCCGUCUGAUAUUCCUUUUCCUCGAAACACUGAAAUAGGCAUAAAACAGCAAAUCUGGGAUGGGCCUCCGGUUAAUAGGUUAGUCCCAAAAAUAAUAUAAAAGUGGAUAAUAAAGCCCAAUAUUGCCUAAAACAGUAGAUAAAGUAGCAUGUAGCAAUCAAAAAUUAUAGAUACGUUGGAGACGUAUCACUGGACCAUGGAAUUCAAGGACUACCUGAUGCAAGGGACACUGCCAGAGAAAGAGGAGGACGCGGAACGCACGGCUCGGCAGGCCACGGCCUACUGCAUCCAAGACGGUGAGUUAUACCGGAUGCGGCCAAAUGACGUUUCCCUAUGUUGCAUCUCUAGGGAACAUGGGAAGGAGCUGCUGGCCGACAUACACAGUGGAGACUACGGACACCACUCAUCAUCACGGACCCUCGUCGGCAAGGCGUUCCGCAGUGGGUUCUACUGGCCUACGGCACUCAACGACGCGACCGAGCUGGUGAAGUCCUGCAAAGCGUGCCAAUUCCAUGCCAAGCAGAUCCAUCAGCCAGCUCAGGGCCUGCAGACCAUCCUACUCUCGUGGCCGUUCACGGUUUGGGGGCUGGAUAUCUUGGGCCCAUUCCCUCGAGCGCUUGGGGGCUACCGCUACCUCUACGUCGCCGUCGACAAGUUCACCAAGUGGGAAGAGGUGGAAGCCGUCUGCACCAUCCCGACCGGUUCUGCGGUCAAGUUCAUCAAGGGCCUUGUGAGCCGGUUUGGGGUCCCCAACCGCAUCAUCUCCGACAAUGGUUCGCAGUUCACCAGCAAUCUCUUCAAAACAUAUUGUGCUAACCUUGGAACACAGAUAUGCUAUGCUUCGAUGGCGCACCCCCGGAGUAACGACCAGGCCGAACGCGCCAACGCGGAGGUCCUGAGGGGCCUCAAGACUAGGACCUACAAGAAGAAGUUGGAGGCCUGCGGCAGGGGCUAGUACGACGAGCUCCAGUCCGUGUUCUGGUCCAUCCGCACUACCUCCACCAAGCCAACUGAUGAGUCCUCGUUCUUCCUCGUCUACGGAGCAGAAGCGGUUCUCCCUUACGAGGUCAGGCGUCGCUUCGCGCGGGUCCUAGCGUUUGAUGAGGCGCAGCAGGACGCUGCUACGUCUUGAGCUUGCGUUGGUUUUCCUUGAAGAGGAAAGGGUGAUGCAGCAAUAGUAGCGUAACUAUUUCCCUCAGUUUUUGAGAACCAAGGUAUCAAUCCAGUAGGAGGCUCCUCAAAAGUCCCACGCACCUACACAAACAAACAAGAACUCACAACCAACGCAAUAGAGGGGUUGUCAAUCCCUUCACGACCACUUCCGAAAGUGAGAUCUGAUAGAGAUAAUAUGAUAAGAUAAAUAUAUUUUUGGUAUUUUAUAAUAUAGAUUGGAAAAGUAAAGAUACAAAUAAAAGUAGAUUGAAAGCCUAUAUGAUAAAGGAUAGACCCGGGGGCCAUAGGUUUCACUAGUGGCUUCUCUCAAGAUAGCAUAAGUAUUACGGUGGGUGAACAAAUUACUGUCGAGCAAUUGAUAGAAAAGCAAAUAAUUAUAAGAUUAUCUAGGCAUUAUCAUGUAUAUAGGCAUCACGUCCGUGACAAGUAGACCGACUCCUGCCUGCAUCUACUACUAUUACUCCACACAUUGACCGCUAUCUAGCAUGCAUCUAGAGUAUUAAGUUCAUAAAGAAUAGAGUAACGCAUUAAGAAAGAUGACAUGAUGUAGAGGGAUAAACUCAUGCAAUAUGAUAUAAACCCCAUCUUUUUAUCCUCGAUGGCAAUAAUACAAUACGUGCCUUGCUGCCCCUGCUGUCACUGGGAAAGGACACCGCAAGAUUGAACACAAAGCUAAACACUUCUCCCAUUACAAGAAAGAUCAAUCUAGUAGGCCAAACCAAACUGAUAAUUCGAAGAGACUUGCAAAUAUAACUUAAUCACACAUAAAAGAAUUCAGAGGAGAUUCAAAUAUUUCUCAUAGAUAAACUUGAUCAUAAACCCACAAUUCAUCGGAUCUUGACAAACACACCGCAAAAAGAGUUACAUCGAAUAGAUCUCCAAAAAGAUCAAGGAGAACAUGGUAUUGAGAUUCAAAGAGAGAGAAGAAGCCAUCUAGCUAAUAACUAUGGACCCGAAGGUCUGUGGUAAACUACUCACAACUCAUUGGAGAGGUUGUGGUGUUGAUGUAGAAGCCAUCUGUGGUCGAUUCCCCCUCCGACGGAGCGCGGGCGAAGGCUCCAAGAUGGGAUCUCGCGGAUACAGAAGGUUACGGUGGUGGAAAUAGUUUUUCGUGGUCGCUUCUAAUGUUCUCGGGGUACGUGGGUAUAUAUAGGAGGAAGAAGUAGGUCGGUGGACGCCCGAGGGGCCCACGAGAUAGGGGGCACACCCUCCACCCUCGUGGCCGCCUCGAUUGCUUCUUGACUUGCACUCCAAGUCCUCUGGAUCACGUUCAAAAUCACGCUCCCGAAGGUUUCAUUCCGUUUGGACUCCGUUUGAUAUUCCUUUUCUUCGAAACACUGAAAUAGGCAAAAAAAACCAGCAAUACGGGUUGGGCCUCCGAUUAGUAGGUUAGUCCCAAAAAUGAUAUAAAUGUGUAAAGUAAAGCCCAUAAACAUCCAAAACGGGUAAUAUAAUAGCAUGGAACAAUAAAAAAUUAUAGAUACGUUGGAGACGUAUCAAGCAUCCCCAAGCUUAAUUCCUGCUCGUCCUCGAGUAGGUAAAUGACAAAAAUAGAAUUUUUUAUGUGGAAUGCUCCUAGCAUAAUUCUCAAUGUAAUUUUCUUUAUUGUGGCAUGAAUGUUCAGAUCCAAAUGAUUCAAAAUAAAAGUUCAUAUUGACAUAAGAAAUAGUAAUACUUCAAGCAUACUAAUCAAAGCAAUCAUGUCUUCUCAAAAUAACAUGGCUAAAGAAAGUUCAUCCCUACAAAAUCAUAUUGUUAGGCUAUGCUUCAUUUUCGUCACACAAAAAUUCUCCCAUCUUAUACACCCCCAAUGACAAGCCAAGCAAUUGUUUCGUACUUAAAUAAUCUCAAACUUUUCCAACUUUCACGCAAUACAUGAGCGUGAGCCAUGGAUAUAGCACUAUGGGUGGAAUGGAAUAUGAUGAUGGGGAUUGUGUGGAGAAGACAAAAAAGGAGAAAGUCUCACAUUGACGUGGAUAAUCAACGGGCUAUGGAUAUUCCCAUCAAUUGAUGUCAACAUGAGGAGUAGGGAUUGCCAUGCAACGGAUGCACUAGAGCUAUAAAUGUAUGAAAGCUCAACAAAAGAAACUAGUGGGUGUGCAUCCAACUUGCUUGCUCACGAAGACCUAGGGCAUUUGAGGAAGCCCAUCGUAGGAAUAUACAAGCCAAGUUCUAUAAUGAAAAAUUCCCACUAGUAUAUGAAAGUGACAACAUAAAAGACUUUCUAUAUGAAGAACAUGGUGCUACUUUGAAGCACAAGUGUGGAAAAAGAGAUAGUAACAUUGCCCCCCUUUUUUGGGGCCUUUUUUGGCCUUUCUUUUUUUUAUUUGUUUUUUUAUUUGGGGACAAUGCUCUAAUAAUGAUGAUCAUCACACUUCUAUUUAUUUACAACUCAUGAAUUACAACUCAAAACUAGAACAAGAUAUGACUCUAUAUGCAUGCCUCCGACGGUGUACCGGUAUGGGCAAUGAAUCAAGAGUGACAUGUAUGAAAAAUUAUGCAUGGUGGCUUUGCCACAAAUACAAUGUCAAGUACAUGAUCAUGCAAGGCGGUAUGACAAUGAUGAUGCGUGUCAUGAUGAUAAACGGAACAGUGGAAAGUUGCAUGGCAAUAUAUCUCAGAAUGACUAUGGAAAUGCCAUAAUAGGUAGGUAUGGUGGCUGUUUUGAGGAAGAUAAGGGGGUUUAUGUGUGAUAGAGCGUAUUGCAUCACGGGGUUUGGAUGCACCGGCGAAGUUUGCACCAACUCUCAAGGUGAGAAAGGGCAAUGCACGGUACUGAAGAGGCUAGCAAUGAUGGAAAGGUGAGAGUGCGUAUAAUCCAUGGACUCAACAUUAGUCAAAAAGAACUCAUAUACUUAUUGCAAAAAUCUACAAGUCAUCAAAAACCAAGCACUACGUGCAUGCUCCUAGGGGGAUAGAUUGGUAGGAAAAGACCAUCGCUCAUCCCCGACCGCCACUCAUAAAGAUGCACAAUCUAAGAACACCUCAUGUUUCAAAUUUGUUACACAACUGUAACCAUACGUGCAUGCUACGAGACUUGCUAACUUCAACACAAGCAUUCUUUAAAUUCAUAAUCACCCAACUAGCAUGACUCUAAUAUCACUACCUCCAUAUCUCAAAAGAAUUAUCAAGUAUCAAAUUGAUCAUAGCAUCCAAUUCACUUCCUAUGGUAGUUUUUAUUAUACCCAACUUGGAUGCCCACCAUUCUAGGACCAAUUUUAUAACCAUUGCAAAUACCAUGCUGUUCUAAAAGACUCUCAAAAUAAUAUAAGUGAAGCAUGAGAGACUAACAAUUUCUAAAAAAUUAAGCCACCGCCGUGCUCUAAAAGAUAUAAGUGAAGCACUAGAGCAAAAACUAUCUAGCUCAAAAGAUAUAAGUGAAGCACAUAGAGUAUUCUAAUAAAUUCCAAUCAAGUGGGUUUCUCCCAAAAGGUGUGUACAGCAAGGAUGAUUGUGGUAAACUAAAAAGCAAAGAUAAAUAUCAUACAAGACGCUCCAAGCAAAACAUAUAUCAUGUGGCGAAUAAAAAUAUAGCUCCAAGUAAAGUUACCGAUAAACGAAGACGAAAGAGGGGAUGCCUUCCCGGGGCAUCCCCAAGCUUAGGCUUUUGGAUAUUCUUGAAUAUCUUGGGGUUCCAUGGGCAUCCCCAAGCUUAGGCUCUUGCCACUCCUUAUUCCAUAGUCCAUCAAAUCUUUACCCAAAAUUUGAAAACUUCACAACACAAAACUCAACAGGAAAUCUCAUAAGCUCCGUUAGUGAAAGAAAGAAAAACCACCACAUAAGGUACUGUAAUGAACUCAUUCUUUAUUUAUAUUGUUGUUAAACCUACUGUAUUCCAAGUUCUCUAUGGUUCAUACUACUUAAUACUAGCAAUAGAUGCAUCAAAAUAAGCAAACAACACAUGAAAAACAGAAUCUGUCAAAAACAGAACAGUCUGUAGCAAUCUGUAACUCUCGAAUACUUAUGGAACUUUAAAAAUCCUACCAAAAUAGGAAGUCCUGGGCAAUUUGUCUAUUGAUCUACCGCAAAAAGAAUCAACGCAAAUCACGUUUAUGUGAAUUACUAAGAUUAUUUUCGUGCGUGCAAAGUUUCUGUUUUUCAGCAGAAUCAAAUUAACUAUCACCUUAGGUUAUCCUAUAGGUUCUACUUGGCACAAACACUAAUUAAAACAUAAAAACACAUCUAAACAGAAGGUAGAAGCAAAAUUUAUUACUAAACAUAAACAAAAACAAAAAACAC
rnacentral:lncRNA from 1 species